rnacentral:lncRNA from 1 species
CUACCUCAUAUUUGACUCUGUAUUUACCACAUAAAAUGUAUUUACCACAUAUUUGACUCUGUAUACAUCUACCUCUUCUACGGGUCCAAUGAAACAUGAAAACAUUAAUGCCACAUCAAACAUUGACAUUUACUAUUAUUACAUGUGUCAGUUUCUCACUCACUGCUUCCACUUAACCGAAGACCUAAGCCCCUUCAAACUAAGGGUCAUUAGCCUUGCAUCAAAUACUCGAAAAAUUUCCAAUCACUCUCAUCCAUCCAAGAUGGAAGAUCUUCUAUAACGAGUUGAACUGCAUUGUUGAUUUCCAAAUUUUGUAAGAUGCGAAUCAUUUGUUCCGAGGGUUUCGUUACAUGUACUUUUUUCAAGUCACUCAAUGACCAGAGUUCAUUUGGGAGAUCAUCUAACCUUCCACAAAAGCUGAUCACCAGACUUUGAAGUCUUGGCAUUGCACCAUUGCCUAAAUUCCACUUUUCAAUUUUCAAACUUUCCAUUUGAAAUACUUCUAGUUGUGGGAAGCUGCCUCCAACACAAGUAAGGUCAUAGGAAUCCUGAGUCGAAAAAAGCAUAAAUCCAAAAAGCCUCAAAAUUUUGAGUUUGGCGUGAUUUCCCAAACACUUCAUCCCCUCGUCACUAAUGCAGCUAAUUCCUUUCAAUUUUAACUCUGUAACGUUUGAAGGAAGUGUGAUUGCACAAGUUAGAAGGUCUAUAACGUUAUUAAUCUCUAAGACAGUUAGACAAUUAAAUUGCCCUAGACUUUCAAAUAGUUCUUGUGGCUUACAACCAUUCUUCCUUUCCACACCCUCGUGGAGUGUUACGAUUGUGUCAUAUCUAUAUGGGAGGACGAUCACGAACUCAUUCAAAUACCUUAAAAGUUGUACGCUCUGCAACAAUUUAGAUAAUUGACCUUUCCCAAAAACCACGCUCAACCCUAUGCUCUUAAUAUUGGGGAAUGUUCCUUUCUCUAUCAGAUAUGUUGCUUGUUUAUUGAGUACAAGGGGAGAGAUGGUUUGUAAAUUGUACAUCUUCUCACUUGAUCCUAAACAACUGCCUCGCAACUUAAUAGGCCCCCGUGUACUCAAAUGUCUUAAAUGUUUGAGUUUCCACACUUGAACAGGAAAAGAAGUUGGAGUGUUCUGGCUCCAAGGACCAAGGUCUAUGGUUUGUAGAGACCAAAGGUGAAGUAUUGAAUCUGGAACAAAUGUGAUAUAUUGUGAGUCUAUUCUCAAGUACUUUAAAUGCAUGAAGUUCCCGAUGUUAGAAGGGAUCUUUUUACAACUCAUUGGUGCGAGCUCUAACACUCGAACGAGUUUGAAGUCUUUCAAAAGCCAUUUUCGCUCCCUCCUAUGAACACGGUAAUCUGAGCCAAAGAAGAACAGAGAACGAAUACAUGAAUGGUCAUUGUUGUUUGAAGAAAUGUAGUGAUCCAUCUUACCGUGAAUGGACAGUCUACGAGGUUUUGUCGGGACUAGAAUGUUAUUGUCUGUGCAAACUUCAAAAACUUUGUCCUCUUUGCUCUCUGAUAUACAAAGAUCUCGAAGAAGAUCAUGAACCCGACAUGUCUUUACACCUGCAUUAGUCUUCAAUCUUGCUAUUUGAAUCAAACUGCGAUCAAUGAGCUCGUACAAGUAGUCUUCCGCAACAUCAUAUGGGUCUCUAUUUCCUGUAUGUUGUAUAAAACCCUCUGCAACCCAUUUUUGUAAUAAUGGCGUAACAGGAAUUUCAAAGUCUUCAGGAAAUAACCCAAGAUAGAGAAAACAUGGUUGUAAUCUCCUUGGCAAGUUGUCAUAGCUGAGUUUGAGAACUAUAUCCUUCACUUGGGUCUCAUCUUGGGUAAGAUACCAAUUAACAUGACCCACCACUUUACACCAUUCUCUAUGUGACUUUUCCUUGUUGGCUAGCAGCCCUGCUAAGACAAUGAUGGAAAGUGGCAAACCACGACAACUUUGAACCAUCUGUUUUCCCAAAGGCUCCAAAUCAAAAGGAUAGUCUUCACCCCUAAACACUUUCCUUCGAAACAACUCCCAACUUUCUUCAUCAUUUAGGAAUUGAAGAUAGUGAGGAACAUCAUGACCAGCAUGCAAGGCCACUUCUUUCAAACGACUAGUGAUCAAUAUUCUGCUGCCUGUGUUGUUAUCCGGAAAAGCGUCUUGCACCUCGUCCCAAUCUUGCCUUUUCCACAAAUCAUCUACUAUCACAAGAUAUCUUUUCCUCUCCAAGCAGCUCCGCACCAGUUCCUUCAGCUCCUCCUCACUCAGGCUGUUAAUGUCUCCGUCACUUUUCUUACCUUUGCUUUGUUGUUUAAAAUUUGGCAUCAAAUGCUUAAGAAGGUUGACCAAAAGCUCCUUAACUCUGCACUCGUUUGAAACAUAAACCCACGCGCGACACAUGAAGCGUUGUUUCACCUGGUUGUUGUUAUAGACCUUUCGGGCAAGGGUGGUCUUCCCCAAUCCCCCCAUGCCAAUGAUAGAGACUGCUUUACGAUUUGAACCACCUUCCAGGAGUCGCUUGAUGAUAUCCUUGGAAUCCUGAUCAAAGCCAACCACAUCUUCCUCCUCCACAUUUCUUCUCAGUUUCUUUAGCUGCGAUUGCAACCUUUCGUUCUCCUCCUUCUCUUCUGCUGCGGAUUGAUUAGUGGUUUCUUUGAAAGCAUCAUAUUUGUCCUUGUUGUUGUGUAUCUCGUUGAGAGUGGUUUUGAGCUUGUCUAUUUUGUGGGCUACGUGGUGGAGCAACCUUGCUUGGCCAAAGGCACGGAGCAUCCUCCCGAGAAUGGUUCUUCUCUUGUAAAUGGAAACUUUGGCUACGAAUGUGUCGAUGACAUCCUCAGCCAAAUGGGCCACAUCUCUGAUUUGGUUCAGUACAACAUGUUCCAUUCCCUUCUUUCUCUUUGUGGUAUUGAGAAGCUCUUUGAUCAUUUGAAGUUCGUACUGGAGGGACUGGACUCUAUCCUCCACGCCAUACAGCAAGUUAACUUCGCGUGCCACAAGCUCAGCUAAAUGGUCUAAAACAAAGGUAACUACGCUCUCUUCCAUUACAACGGAGGUGUGUGUAGAUUUCAAUAUGUGGUUGGUGAUGGAAGAAGAGUAAGAGGGACUUAAGGCACCAGAGAAAAAGCAAUAGAGUGUAGCUUGCAAUCGCUUAGAAAAGAAUAUAUAUAUAUAUCCAAAUAUAUAGUAUGAAAUGAAAAGUGUCUGCAAUGAAGAAUUUAUAAAGACUUGGGUUCAGAGCUUCUGGCUUGAGCGUCAAUAAUGGCUACUUUGAAAUUGAACCUUUCCAGUGAGUAGCUUGGCACCUUCCUGCUAUGUGCAUUGCACCUUCAUUUUCUCUUAGAAUAUUUAUAUUUAUGACAGUACUGUGUUCUGUUUGUUUCCUCGUUAUUAGAUGGCAUAGAAUAAUAUAUUUGUAAGAGACUGAUUUGUUUUAUUUCGUCGUUAUAUAUCAACUUGAUCGCCCAACGUAUUCAAACUGCAACCACAGCACUCCAACGCUGCUGUUUGAAUCAAAUUGACUUAAUAUAUAUUCUAAACACUUUCUCAUCACUAAUAUCUCAUAUUCACUAAAUAAAAUAGAAUAACUUAUUAAUGUACUAAAUAUGUCAAUUAAUUUAUUUGAUUAAUUUGUAAGCUCAAACUAAAUUCAUUAAAAGUUUAAACGAAAAAUAAAUACAAUUUUUAAUGACUUAUUUUUGUUUAUUGGAUUUUUACAAAAUUUGUAUGAUUAUUUGUUUAUAUAUAUGACUGUCAUUCUAUAAAACAAUUUCAUUUAUAUACUCAACCAAACCUUUUCUCAAUUUCAACUCUGAUAAUACAGUAGAAUUUUCUCUUCCAGUUUCAAUUUUUUUUACGCAUAUUAGGGUUUUCUACAAACAAUUUUUACAUUAUUUUUGUUAUUAUUAUAUAUGACUGUUCAAUAAAUAAAAAUAAUGUUUUUUUUUCCAAUAGUUUUUUAUUCCAUUUAUAUUAGAGUUUACAGCCAUAUAAAUGGAAGAAGAUCGAAUAAAAAAAAUAAUGAUACCAUGAUACACUUUUACAUUUAUUUGAUAUAUAUUAUAAGGAUAAAAUGAUCAUAAAAAUAUAAAUUUUUGUAUUAUUUUAAAAGAAAUAAAAAUAGUGUCAAAUGAAUAUAAAAAAUUUAGAUUUGUCAAAAAAUAAUUAAUCCAUAAAAAUAAUUUCGAUAUGCAUACUCCGAAAAGUGGCUGCAAUAAUAUAUAAAGACUUGGGUUGUGGUUUUAUUGGUCCAUUGACUUUGCGUCAACCAUUACUACUUUUGAAUAUAUAAAGAGUGCAUAAUGUGAAUAGCUUGACACCUUCCUGCUACGUGCAUUGCACCUUCUACCAUUUGCCUUAGAAUAUUUAUAUUUAUGACAGUAUUGUGUUCACUUUGUUUCCUCGUUAUUAUUUAUCAAGGAUAUUGACAUCUGUAAAUAUAUUCAUGUUUUGUCAAGGUUCAAUUAUUUAUUGGUUUCUGUUUUCGUAAAAUAAUGUCAAGUUAGUCAUCUAUAAUUUUUUUAGUUUCAAUUUGUUCCUAAUAAUGUAAUUUGAUUUUGAUUUGUGAAAAAAUUAUGCAACUUAGUUAUUUUUAAUUAAAUUUCUUAAACCAGAUCAAUAAUUUUUUUUGUCAACAUUACCAUUAUGAUUGUGUUAAUUACAUCAAUAAAACAAAUCAUUUUUAAAAAUUGAUGCAACUUGAUCAUUUCAAUUAAAUUUCUUCAAACAUAUCAAUGAUUUUUCAUCAAUAUUAACACUAGGAUUAUGUUAACUAUACUAAUAAAACAAACCAUUUUUAUUACACAACUUCAAUUUUGAUGAAAAAAUUAUUGAUUUGUUUCAAGAAAUUUAACAAAAAGUAUCAAAUUAUAUCAAUUUUUCNNNNNNNNNNNNNNNNNNNNNNNNNNNNNNNNNNNNNNNNNNNNNNNNNNNNNNNNNNNNNNNNNNNNNNNNNNNNNNNNNNNNNNNNNNNNNNNNNNNNNNNNNNNNNNNNNNNNNNNNNNNNNNNNNNNNNNNNNNNNNNNNNNNNNNNNNNNNNNNNNNNNNNNNNNNNNNNNNNNNNNNNNNNNNNNNNNNNNNNNNNNNNNNNNNNNNNNNNNNNNNNNNNNNNNNNNNNNNNNNNNNNNNNNNNNNNNNNNNNNNNNNNNNNNNNNNNNNNNNNNNNNNNNNNNNNNNNNNNNNNNNNNNNNNNNNNNNNNNNNNNNNNNNNNNNNNNNNNNNNNNNNNNNNNNNNNNNNNNNNNNNNNNNNNNNNNNNNNNNNNNNNNNNNNNNNNNNNNNNNNNNNNNNNNNNNNNNNNNNNNNNNNNNNNNNNNNNNNNNNNNNNNNNNNNNNNNNNNNNNNNNNNNNNNNNNNNNNNNNNNNNNNNNNNNNNNNNNNNNNNNNNNNNNNNNNNNNNNNNNNNNNNNNNNNNNNNNNNNNNNNNNNNNNNNNNNNNNNNNNNNNNNNNNNNNNNNNNNNNNNNNNNNNNNNNNNNNNNNNNNNNNNNNNNNNNNNNNNNNNNNNNNNNNNNNNNNNNNNNNNNNNNNNNNNNNNNNNNNNNNNNNNNNNNNNNNNNNNNNNNNNNNNNNNNNNNNNNNNNNNNNNNNNNNNNNNNNNNNNNNNNNNNNNNNNNNNNNNNNNNNNNNNNNNNNNNNNNNNNNNNNNNNNNNNNNNNNNNNNNNNNNNNNNNNNNNNNNNNNNNNNNNNNNNNNNNNNNNNNNNNNNNNNNNNNNNNNNNNNNNNNNNNNNNNNNNNNNNNNNNNNNNNNNNNNNNNNNNNNNNNNNNNNNNNNNNNNNNNNNNNNNNNNNNNNNNNNNNNNNNNNNNNNNNNNNNNNNNNNNNNNNNNNNNNNNNNNNNNNNNNNNNNNNNNNNNNNNNNNNNNNNNNNNNNNNNNNNNNNNNNNNNNNNNNNNNNNNNNNNNNNNNNNNNNNNNNNNNNNNNNNNNNNNNNNNNNNNNNNNNNNNNNNNNNUUUGUGUUCAAUUUCGUCCCAAAGAACGAAUUUAAUGUUCAAUUUGGUCCUUUUCAUUAACACCGUUAAAAUUGUUAACGGCAAGGUGUCCAGCUCUGCAACUGCUAUGUGUGGUGUCAAUUUUUUGCUGACUAGGAAACCUUUUAAGUUGGAAUUAGAAUUUUUUAAAAGAUUUAGAAGGGCAAAGUGGGAAAUCAUCUUCCACCUACUAAAAUCCUAAUUCCCAAUUCAGAAACCCUAGCCGUCACCCACCCUUAAGCUACCACCUCCAUGGCAACCACCACGCUGCCGGUGACCACCACCCAACAGUCCCGCCGUCACCAACAGCGCAAUCGCCAUUGUCAUCAAGCAACGUGGAAAACCUGCAGUAGAGGUAAAAACUAAAUUAAACAAAGUUUAUGGCAAUCAGAAGUUAAUUAAAUUGGAAAAACUAAAUUAUUCUGUUUAGUUGUGUUGUUAAAAUUUUAACAUUGGAUUAUAGGCAGCGAACAUCUUCUACUAUUUGACUUAUGAAGGUGUUGUUGAUCUCGAAACAAUGGAAGACGAUAUGCAAAGAGCAGCUAUCGAAGACCAGAUAGCCAACUUUGGUCAGACUCCAAUCCAGAUAUUUCGUAAGAAGCACCCGAGAAGAGGGCCACCUAUUCCAAUUGCGCAUCCUCUGUACUUUGCUCCUGAUUCUAUCAGUUUGACUUCCAUUGUAUGUAAUGCAAGUCAAUGUCCAUCUGCUUUACUGUAUGUUAGUCAAUGUCCAUCCUUUUUUUUAUUAGAAUUAUGUUUGGUUUCAAGAGUAAUGAAACAAUCUCUAAUUUUCAGCAGGAUCCAUUCUUUGGAGUUGGAGGAUCUGACAUUCUUUCUCCUCGCAAAAUUGGGAUUCCUGUGCCUGAAAACGUUGAACUUGGAGCUCAAUGAUCCACGGUGGUCACGCAUGGAGAUUGCGCUGUUGGUGACGGCGGGACUGUUGGGUGGUGGUCACUGGCGGCGUGGUGGUUGCCAUGGAGGUGGUAGCUUAAGGGUGGGUGACGGCUAGGGUUUCGAAUUGGGAAUUAGGAUUUUAGUAGGUGGAAGAUGAUUUCCCACUUUGCCCUUCUAAAUCUUUUAAAAAAUUCUAAUUCCAACUUAAAAGGUUUUCUAGUCAGCAAAAAAUUGACACCACACAUAGCAGUUGUAGAGCUAGACACCUUGCCGUUAACAAUUUUAACGGUGUUAAUGAAAAGGAUCAAAUUGAACAUUAAAUUCGUUCUUUGGGACGAAAUUGAACACAAAUUCAACUCAGGGACCAAAACGAAUUUUCUGAACCAAAAUUGGGACCAAAAAGAACUUUUAACCUAAAAUUUUCUAUAACACUUAGGAACCUUAUUCUUAAUCUUUAUAGGCAAGGAAUAGAACAAGCUGGAGAAUUAAUAAUAUAAGAAAAAAUCAUAUGUUAUAACAACAUGAACUCUUCUAUAAAAAAUGAUAUAACAUGAGAGAUGUUAUAUAAAUUAAAUCCCCACAGUAACAACAUCUAUUAAGCCAUGAAAUUGACAAGGCUACUUCAAUCAAAAAAUUAAUUCCCCUGUUGAAAACAGUAGAGAUACAAAAAAACUAAAAUUGCAUAAAAUCUAAGAAUGAAAAAAGGAAAAUGAUAUUGUGACACUUUCAGGAUAACAAAUUUUUGACAUCGGUAACGUGUCAUGUUUUUAUUGAUUGACUUUUAAGAAAAUAAAAAAAAAUAAAAAAUAAUGUGACCAAUGAAAACGUGACACGUCACUUGUGUAAAAAAUUUGUAAUCCUAAAAGUGUCAAAGUAUCAUUUUUCAUUAAAAAAAAAAAAAGUUUUCCAGCUUUCUGGACUUCAAAGAUCAAAAUUAACAAGUUUCUCAAUUAUCAGCUUUCCAAAGUAAAGAUCAUGAUCCUCAAGUAUCUGCCAUUACUGCGUGGAGGAGCGUGUGGAGAAUUUAUCCAAACGUUAAUAAAAUAGGAGAAUUUAUUAAUAUACUAAAUACAAACUUUCUCAUCACUAAUAUCUCAUUUUCACAAUUUCUCAUCACUAAAAUAGGAUCAAAUUGACUAUAUGCUAAAAAUUCUCAUCACUAAUAUCUCAUUUUCACAAAAUAAAAUAGGAGAACUUAUUAAUAUACUAAAUAUGUCAAUUAAUUUAUUUUUCUUAAUUUGUAAGGUCAAACUAAAUUCAUUAAAAGGUUUAAACGAAAAAGAAAUACAAAGUUUUAAUGAAUUAUUUUUGUUUGUUGAAUUUUUGAAAAAUUUGUAUGAUUAUUUUUUUAUAUAUAAUGACUGUCAUUCUAUAAAAUUAUAUACUCAACCAAACCUUUUCUCAAUUUGAAAUCUGAUAAUAUAAUAGAAUUUUCUCUUCCAGUUUAAAUUUUUUUUACGCAUAUAAGUAAUUGUAUUGCGUUAUUUUUCUAAGUUAGGGUUUUCUACAAACAAUUUUUACAUUAUUUUUGUUAUUAUUAUUUAUGACUGCUCAAUAAAUGAAUAUAAUGUUUUUUUAAAACAAAAUUAGCUUGCACACGUAAUGUUAAAUCAACAUGUUUCUCUAAGUUAUUGAAUUUUUAAACAUUUUUCCCUAAAUAUACCAAUGUCUUGAAUUUAAGCAAAAUGAUAUGGACACAAUUUAUAAUCUAACAGGUUGAAAACGUAACUAGUACAAUUAUAUGAAAAUUAUAUAUUAAUUUAUAUAAAUAUAAAAGGAAUACAAUAUAUUAAAAUUUAAAAAAUAUUUUAAAUUAUAUAUUAAUUUAUAUGAAUAAAAAAAUGGGGGUUAUAAUCCCCUCUUCUAAGAUAGGUUAAACCGCUUUAUUCCGAUUUUUACUGACUAACUAUAGUUACACAAAAAUAAAUCAAUUGACGCGUUUAAUCACUUCUAAUCACCUUAGUAAGAUACUCUUUCUAAAAAAAAUUAAUUAUUUAAUUUUAAAUUUAUUAUAGGCUUUUAUUUUACUUUUUUUUAGUUGUAGUAUUCUAAGAUACUAAAAUAUAUCGAGACAAGAUUAAAAUAUCAAGAGUGUUAUAUUUUGGAAAUUUUAAUAUAUUAAAAAAUAAGGUUGUCUCUUCAACAAAGUUAAAUAAUAAAUAUAUUUACUAAUAUUUGAAUUAUUAUAUUAAUUAAUAAUCAGAAAAAAAAUUGAUAAAGUCUAUGAUCUCUCGCAAAUGAGAAUUGUUUUUUUAGAUUUAUCUUUUUUGUUAAUAUUUGUUAGCUAUUUUUUAUACUUAAAAGUUUGACAAUUUAUAUUUUGUUGAUAAAAAUGUUGAGUCUUUUAUUUUUGGUUUUAUCUCCACAAAACUAUAUAUGCAUUAUAUAAUUUCAUUUCUGGGUACCUUUUCUAUGAAAAAAAUAUAUGUUUACUUAAGAAUGAUAAUAAACUCGUCUGAACUUGUUCUUAUUUUCAUGAAAAAUCCUUCUAUUAAUUAUAUAUGGAUAUGAGUAUAAGUAAUAUCUAAUUUUUUUUUUCAAUUGGAUAUGAUCAUGUGCUUACGUUACGUCUUAUCCUUAUUCUCAUACUCAUUCUUGUUAUAUUUUUAUUUCUAUUUAAAUUACUAAAAUAUCAAUAGUUUAUUAGAUAAUUAAUCUAAUCUUUAUACAUUUUUUUUUCUUUUAAUUGUUUGACUUAUCUUGAAAUCAAUUGACAUCUCGAAAAUAUAUUCUCUCUUAUUAGAAUAUUUGUGUAGUUAUAUUCAAUUAUAUAUAUAAAUUAAAUAUUUUUUGUUUCAUGUGAAGAAGUCUUUUUCUUUUGCUAAAAACAUUUCCAUUAUCUUUCAUUUAUUUGACUAGAUUGAUAUAUGAAAUGUUUUCAUAGAUAUCUAAGAUUAUAUUUUUUUAAUAUUUUUAUUUGUUAAAGUGAAUGGUGAUGGAAGAAGAGGAACAUGUAUUUACUAAGGCACCAGAAAAAGCAAUAGAGUGUAGCUUGCAGCCAUAUAGGAAAGAAUGUUUAAAGAUAAAUUGGAUAUAGAUAUCAGAACAGCUGCUGGAAUUCUCGUGUACACACUAAAAAACUGAGUGCAAACUUAAAUUGAAGAAAGAAAGGAAGAAUAAAAGACAUAAAUGGAAGGCAAAUGAGCUACUAAUAAUGAGAUUCCCAAUCAUUCUCUUCAUCCAAAGCUGGAUAAAAGCUUCUAAAGACUUGAACUCUAUUAUCUGUUUCCAAUAUUCGUAAGAUGUCGUGCACCUGUUCAGUCACUUGUACGAUAUUGCUUUCUAUAUGCACUUGUUUCAAUCCAUUCAAAGAACAGAGUUCAGUUGGGAGAUUAAUAUAUGGUCCACAAAAUUUAAUAAUCACAUGUUGAAGCUUCCUCAUUGCACCAUUGCCCAAUUUCCAAUUUCGAAGCUUCAAUUCUUUCAUUUUCAACACUUCCAACUGUGGGAAGCCGACACAAUUGAGGUCAAUGGGAUCAUUAAACCUAUCUAGAUUUCCCAAAAGUCUUAAAAUCUUGAGUUUGGAGUGAUUUCCCAGACCAUUCAUCCCUUCAUCACUAAUGUGUUCAAUCCUUGACAAAGUUAACUCUAUAAUGUUUGGGGGAAAUAUGAGCUCAGAGGUUAGAAGAUCCUUAACCCAAUCAAUUCUUAAGGUAGUUAGAUGACUGUAUUGUUCUAGCCUUUGAACCAAUUCUUGGGGAUUGAUAUCAAAAAAACCUUGGGGAAAAAUCACUAAUGAAUUCAAAUGUUCUAAUUGUUGUAGGGACUGCAAUAAAUUGGGUAAUUCAUCUUCACAAUCAUGACUCCCGCUCAACCCCAUCCUCUUAAUAUUGGGGAAUGUUCCAUUCCUUAUUAGAGAUAUUGCUUGCUUAUUGAGUGUAAGGGGAGACAUGGUUCGAAGAUUCCACAUCUUCUCAACUGAUUGUAAACAUCUUCCUCGCAACUCGAUAGGCCCUGAUGAAUUCCAGUGUCUUAAAUAUUUAAGUUUCCACAUUUGAGCAGGGAAAGAAACUGCUUGCCUAUAUUUGAAAAUACCCAGGUCUAUGGUUUGUAGAUUCCAAAGGUUAAGUAUUGAAUCUGGAACAAAGUAAACAAUAACAUUUUCUAUUCUCAAGUACCUUAAGUGGAUGAAGUUCCCUAGAAUGGAAGGGAUCGCUUGGAGAUAGAUAGAUCCAAACUGUAAUACUCGAACCAAUUUGAACUCGUCCACAAGCCAUUUCCACUCAUCAUCAUGUGUCCCAAAGAGAAGCAGGGAACGAACACAUGAAUGGUCUCUUUUGCUUGAAGAAAUGUAGUCACUUGUGGCACUCUGAAUGGACAGUUUGCGAGGUUUGGUAGAGUCUACAAUGUUAUUGUUUGUGCAAACUUCAAACACUUUGUCCUUUUUGCUCUGCGAUAUGCAAAGAUCUCGAAGAAGAUCAUGAAUUUGACACUUCUCUAAACUUCCAUUUAACUUCACCCGUGCUACCUGGACCAAACUGCGAUCGAUGAGCUCGUACAAGUAGUCUUCCGCAACAUCAUCUGGGUCUCUAUCUCCUGUAUCUUGUAUAAAACCCUCUGCAACCCAUUUUUGCAAUAAUGGCUCAACAAGUAUUUCAGAGUCCUCAGGAAAUAACCCAAGAUAGAGAAAACAUGGUUUUAGUCUCCUUGGCAAAUUGUCAUAACUCAGCUUGAGAACUAUCUCAUUCACUUGGGUCUUAUUUUGAUUGAUAUACGAAUUAACAUGAUCGACCACUUUAGACCAUAUUGUAUGUGACUUUUCCUUGUUGGCCAGCAACCCAGCCAAAACAAUGAUGGAGAGCGGCAAACCACAGCAUCUUUGAACCAUCUGCUUUCCCAGAGGCUCCAAAUCAGAAGGGCAGUCUCCAUCGAUAAACACUUUCUUACGAAACAACUCCCAACUUUCUUCUUCAUUGAGAAAUGGAAGAUAGUAAGGAACAUCAAGACUAGCGUGCGUGGCCACCUCUUUCGAACGACUAGUAAUCAAUAUUCUGCUGCCUCUGUUGUUGUCUGGAAAAGCACCUUUCACCUUAUCCCAAUCCUCUAUAUUCCACAAGUCAUCUACCACCACAAGAUACCUUUUCCCCUCCAAGCAGUUCUUCGCCAUAUUUUUUAGCUCAUCCUCAUUCCGGCUGUUGAUGUCUCUGCAUUGUUGUUCAAAAUUUGGCAUAAACUGGUGAAGAAGGCCAAGCAAAAGCUCUCUAAAUCUGCACUCGUUUGAAACAUAAACCCACGCGAGACAAUCAAAGUGGUUCUUCACCUGGAUGUUAUUAAAGACCUUUCGGGCAAGGGUGGUCUUUCCCAAUCCCCCCAUGCCAACGAUAGAGAUGACUUUAAGUUUUGAACUAUCUCCCAGGAGUCGGUUGACGACAACCUCGGAGUCAUGGACAAAGCCAACCACAUCUUUUACCUCCACGUCUCUUCUUAGAGUCCGCAGCCAUUCCAGCCUUUCCCUCUCCUCUUCUGCUGCUGAUUCAUUAGUGGUUUCUCUGAAAGCAUCAUAUGUAUCCUUGUUGUCGCGUAUCUCCUUGAGAGUGUUUUUGAUAUAGUCAAUUUUGUCGGAUAAGCGGUGGAGCAACCAUGCUUGGCCAAAGCCAUGGAGCGUCUUCCCCAGAAUGGUUCUCCUCUUGUAAAUGGAAACUUUGGCUACGAAUGUGUCGACGACAUCCUCAGCUAAGUAGGCCAUAUCUCUGAUUUGGUUCAGUACUAUAUGUUCCAUUCCCCUCUCUCUCCUUGUGGUAUUGAGGAGCUCUUUGAUCAUUUCAAGUUCUCUCCGGAGGGACUCAACUCCAUCCUCCACGCCAUACAGUAAGUUAACUUCACGUGCGACAAGCUGGGCUAAGUGAUCUAAAACAAAAGAAACUACAAUCUCUUCCAUUACAGCAUGGACGAGCGUGUAGAUUUGGAUCUGUGGUUGGAAGGGUUUGUGGUUGGUGAUGGAAGAAGAGUAAGAGAGAUUUACUAAGGCAUCAGUAAAGCAAUAGAGAGUGUAGCUUGCAAUCGAUCGCAUAGAAAAGAACAUCUAAAUGUAUAUUAUAAAAAGUGGCUGCAAUAAUAAAGAAUUAAUAUACAAAGAGUGCAUCAUGUGAAUAGCGUACGUGGUUAGAAUAUUUAUAUUUAUGACAGUACUGUGUUCACUUUGCUUCGUGGUUGGCAUAGAAUAAUAUAUAUAUAUAUAUAUAUAUAUAUAUAUAUAUAUAUAUAUAUAUAUAUAUAUAUAUGUAAGAGAUUCCUUUGUUUUAUUUCGUCGUUAUAUAUCAACUUGAUCAUCCAACUUAUUCAAACUGCAACCACAGCACUCAAACGCUGCUGUUUGGAUCAAUGUAUAUUCAAACUUUGGAUACUGUGUUCUUGGAAUAGAAUAAUAUAUAGAGUGUUGGAUACUUUGUUUGUGGUUGGUUUGGUCGGUUUUUACAACUGUGUUUAUGGUUCAUUUACCUUUAAAAUAUUUAUACUUAUGAUAAUACAACUGUGCUGAAGUUUGUUUCCUCGUUAGGUGUAAGAGACACUCUUUUGUUUUUCCAUCAUGUGAGUAGGACUCGUCAAAAUAUACUUAAUAUUGUAAUAUUGUAGUUAAUUAUAUUAUAUUAUACUAAACUAAAAAGAACUAACUAUCUUUACUAUAAUUUAAAUAUAUUAUUUCAUAAUUUAAUUUUAAAAAAUUGAACUUAAUAAAUUUUCAGUUCAGUUAACUGUAGUUAACUGUAGUAUUUUUGUGGUCAGGUUAGUUUGUUUGUUAGGUUGAGAUGAUGGUUUUACCUUUCCUUUUAUAUCUUCAUUUUUUAUACAUUAUUAGAAUUACAGUAUCAUUUUCUUAAAAUACUUUCAGUUAUAUCUUCAUUUUUUAUAUAUUAUAUUUUUAUUUUUUUAUUUAAAUCUAAAAGAUUUAAAAUUAUCUUGUAAAAUAUUAAUUUUUUAAAAUAUAUAUUUUUAUUUAAAAUUUUAUUUUAGAAAGGUCAAAUUAAUUUUUUUUCAUCAAAAUUUAUAUAUUACAAAUUUAGUUUUAAAUUAAUAUAUUUAAUUUUUUAAAAAUAAUGUAUAAAUAGUGUAAAUAUUUACAAAUAUCCACGUAUAAAAAAGACUAUAAAUAUCUUUUUACGGAUAUUUAUCAAAUAACCAAAUAAAUAAUAAAUAUUUUUAAAUGAAUUAUGUAAUAUAUAUAUAUAUAUAUAAAUUAAAGCACCAAUAAUGUACCACAAUAUAAAUUGUAUUUUUAAGUAAACAUAUUUUUAAAUACAUUUAGCUAAUAUUUUUUCACAACUUAUUUCAUUUGGAACAUUACUACCUUUUAAAAUAAUUUCUGCCAUCUAUUUAUAUAUAUAUAUAUAUAUAUAUAUAUAUAUNUUUCCUUUCUUCCUUUUCAUCUAUUAACUACAUUUCUUUUACUAUGAAUUACAUUGUUUUCGUUUUGAUUGUGUGUUACUCUGACAACUGCAUAUACCAUUAUAAUAUUAACGUCAAUAAUAAAUUUAUAGGACUUAUGGCAGCCAAACACAUUGAUUAACCAUUAACUCAAUAUAUUUUUACUGUGUUAACUUUGUCUUCUAACUUAUUCUUUUAUCCCACUGACCUUAAUCGUGUCGGCUUCCCACAAUUGGAAAUGUUGGAAAUGCAACAUUUGUCACUUCGAAAGUGGAAAAUAGGUAAUGGUGCAAUGCGGAAGCUUCAACAUGUGAUUAUCGACCAUUGUCCACCAUUAGAUAAUCUACCAAUUGAAGUUUGUUCUUUGAAUGGAUUGAGAAAAAUGUAUAUAAGCAACUUUCCUUCAAAACACACUGAACAAAUGACUAACAUCUUACGAAUAUUGGAAAUAAAUAAUGAAAUUCAAGUCUUUAUGGGAAAAGUUCCACUUUGGGAUGAAGAGAUGGGUAUCUUAAAUAUUGUUAGUAGCUCAUUUGCCUUCUAUAUUUCAUUUGCUCUCAAUUCAUGUUUUUUAUUUUUGGUUUCUUUCUAAAGUUUCGGUUUGCAGCUCAACUGUAGUAUAAUUUUAUUUGAGAUAUUUUGUUUUGAAAGUAGAUAUAAUGAAUGUGUACUCUAUUUUUAGUUUUUGAUUGUUUAGGUACAAUGUUUGGUUUUAUCUUUUAUUAUAUGGGAAAUAGAAGAAAACAUGAUAAUUGCGUCAUUGUUUAUGAUUCUAAUGUUUAUGAAGUAAUGAUUUAGAGAUUUUAAUAUAUUAAAAUCUCUUCCAAAAUCUAUAUUUGUCUCACUAAUAUGUUUAUAUAUAUAAUUUUUUAACAAAUUAAAAUUAUUUAAAUUUGUAAUAAAUUUAGAGUUAAUUAUAUUUUUUCUUUUAUUUAAAAUGAACAUUAAAUACUCAUGAAUUGUAUGUAUAAUUAAGCUUUCAGCUUUGACUCGUUUCUCUUGUAUUGAGUUUAAAUAUUUGCAGUCUUUUAUGAAUUUGAUUGUUUUAAAAAGAAAAAUAGUUUCUCUAUCAGUUUGAUUCUAUACUAAUCAAAUUUUGGGGGUUUCGCUGUUUAAAUUUUCAGCUCCAUGCUACUCAAAUUUCAAGUCCCACUUUUGCCGAUCAAUAAAGAUAUAUAAGCAAAUUUCGCUUCUUCCCAACUUUUCAUCUUCAAAGUAGAUAUAUAAAAUAUUGUCAGUGAAAUGAGUUGAAAUAUAUAUAUAUAUAUAUAUAUAUAUAUAUAUUUAUUGGUUAAAAAGAUUAACGAGAUAUAAAAGAAACAGUAAAAUACACAACGUAUAUGUCUAAGGCUUCAUGAGGGAAAAUUUACAAUUCAGUUAAAAGAUUUCGUUUAUAUUGUAGUUUAAUAUAAUUUACAAUUCAGUUAAUAAUUCAGUUUAGUUUAUAUUAUAGUUUAAUACAAUUUAUAAUUCAGUUUAUAUUAUAGUUCAGUAUAAUUUAAUAUAGUACAGUUCAGUUCAAUAAAAUAAAAAACAGUUCAGUUCAAUUUGUUUGUCUAAACUAUUUUACAGUUCAGUUUAAAUAAAUUAAUUUUUAGUUGAAUAAAUUUUUAGGAACUCAGUUUCAUUUGUCUACUCUAACUGUGAUAGCGACUUGUUGUUUAUCAAUUUGAUGGUCUCAACCUAUUCAAAUUCCAAACUCACCGGUCCAACCUCCUUCUUUUAUACUUUAAAUACAUAUUUUGCUGCCACUUGGAUCAAAUCUUUUAAUUUUACAUCACUAUUAUCUCAUAUUGAAAAUAAUUCUGAACCGUUUGAAAUAAUAAUUUAAAUUAUAUAUAAUUAAAAAAGAAAUAAUCAACAGUAUUAAAAAUUUAUUCUAAUUGGACAGCAGAAUUAAAUAAAUAUUAUUACUAUGAUUUAAACUUUCAAGGCAGUCUAGAAUGUUUAUCUGCUUCACGUGAUAUUUAAUUAUGACAUACAUGUACUAUCAAAUUUUUGGACAGACCAAAAGGAAUAAUAUGCUAAACUCUUUCUUACUAAAGAAUCAAAUACAAGGUAUAAUUAAAGUGGAGGCUUUAUCAUAAACAAUUAGGACCCGAGAGAAAUGUUCAGAGAAACAUCUCAACUUAAAUUUUAUGUACAUCAGGAAAUGGUCAAAGCACAAGACUGUAACUAAUUCUUUAAAAUUUGACAAAGAAAUUUAAAAUAAAACUCUAAAAAGAAAACGGUAGCUUUUUGAAAGAUGGUGCACACUGUACAAAACAUAUUCUGAAGUUUUUGUGGCAGUAGUACAUGUAAUAUAAUGUAGAAUAGCUAAAAAAAUAGAAUAUAAAUCUAAUGGAGACCGAGAAUGAUGGCAUGAACUUAAAAUAAGGCUUUACAAUGAAAAGUUAAUGACAAAGCAGUAUGGUUUCGGGUAUUCCAAAACAAAGGGCUAUCUUUCUUUUAAUUUCUUUACUCUCUCUUGGAACGGUUUUAAUAUAAUGGUUCAAGGAAUUAUAAUACAACAAUCAGGUACUUUCUCCAAGGCCGUGGAAUUCAAUUAAUAUUGAAGUUCAUCAUCAUUUCAAGAUUCACUGAAUUAUUAAGCAUAUACAGACCAUACUAUUCGGCAGUCAUGGUAGUCUUUCAUACAACAUACCAGUGUGAGGAUGGUCGUCUUCGCUCCAAGAUUGAAUAUGUUGUUCGUCCUCCAAUUUAUCAAUUUGAUUGCCGAAUCUACCAUUGGAUCUCUCGGUCGGUGAUGACCUUGCAAAAAAUACUGCGACGUUCAGGUUAAAUAUGUUUCAAAAAGUGGUUUAUGUUUUAUUAGGAUAGAUCAAGAUUAUUUUACCUUAACUGAAAGUAUAUUAUUGGGCCGAUUCUGGAAGCCCAGCCCACUUCCCUUUAGCCUCUUUAUUUACCUUUUGUUUUUUACCUUUUUGCUGCAAUACAUACAAAAACAUUUUUCAGUUUUCUUCUCUGUGAUUCACGUCAGACACAAAAGGGGUUUUAUCCUUUUUCAUUUUCACUGUUCNNNNNNAGUGAAAUGAGUUGAAAUAUAUAUAUAUAUAUAUAUAUAUAUAUAUAUAUAUAUAUAUAUAUAUAUUAAAUCUGUAAUGUGGUCUUGGUUAUACGAGUUGAGAUAAGAAAAUUUCACAAAAGUCAAAAAAAAAUCUUUCACAUGGAUAAAGUUUAUAAUACCAAAAUAUUUCUGGUAAGUCAGAAUCAUUUCAUGAACAUUUUUUUUUUUGAAAGAAAUAUAUUCAUUUUGAGUAUAAAAAAGAAAUGUAAUUAAUUUUUAAUUUCUCACAAAGUUAAAUAUUUUUAAUUUAUCAAAUAAUUAUAUAUAAAUAUUCUAAUUAGAUUAAUAUAAAUUAUGUUAAGAGACUUCAAUAUAUUAAAUCUUUAAAUCAUUAUUUCAUAAACAAAAUGAUAAUUAAGAUGUAAUUUUCAUGUUUCUUUUUAUUUCUCACAUAAUAAAAAGAUAAAACCAAACAUUUUAUCCAAACAAACCAAAAAUCAAAAACUGAGUGCAAAUUUAAAUUGUAAAAAGAAAGGAAGAAUGAGUGCAAACUUAAAUUGUAAAAAGAAAGGAAGAAUAAAAGACAUGAUCUGAAGACAAAUGACAAAUGAAAUAUGGAAGGCAAAUGAGCUAGUAAUCAUGUACCCAAUCAUUCUCUUCAUCCCAAGGUGGAAUAUAUAUAUGUCCGGCCAAGACUUGAACUCCAUUAUUUGUUUCCAACGUUCGUAAGAUGUCAGCCAUUUGUCCAAUCACUUCUUUUGAGGGAAAGCUAUUUAUAUGUACUUUUUUCAACCCAUUCAAAUAACAAAGCUCAGUUGGGAGAUUACCUAAUGGUCCACAACGGUCGAUAAUCACAUGUUGAAGCCUCCGCAUUGCACCAUUGUCUAAUUCCCACUUUUGAAGCCGCAAAAAUUUCAUUUUCAACACUUCCAGCUGUGGGAAGCCAACACAAUUUAGGUCAGUGGGGUUCUUAAACAUGAGUAAAUUUCCCAAAAGUCUUAAAAUCUUGAGUUUAGAGUGAUUUCCCAAACCAUUCAUCCCCUCAUCACUAAUGCAGUGAAUUCCUGACAAAGUUAACUCUGUAACAUUUGGUGGAAAUAUGUGCUCAGAGGUUAGAAGAUCCUUUACACAAUGAAUCUCUAAAAUAGUUAGAUGACUGAAUUCUCCUAGCCCUUGAACCAGUUCUUGAGGCUUGAAAUCAAGAAAACCUUGGGGAAUAAUCACUAAUGAAUUCAAAUGCUCUAAUUGUUGUAGGUUAUGCAAUAAAUUGUGUAAUUCAUCUCCACAUUCACGACUCCCGUCCAAUCCCAUCCUCUUAAUAUUGGGGAAUGUUCUAUUCUUUAUUAGAGAUAUUGCUUGCUUAUUGCAUACAAGGGGAGACAUGGUUUGAAGAUUCCACAUUUUCUUAACUGAUUGCGAACAAUUUCCUCGCAACUCGAUAGGUCCAGAUGAAUUCCAAUGUCUUAAAUAUUUGAGUUUCCAUAUUUGAAUAGGAAAAGAAACUCGACCCCCGCCCCUGGAAAUACCCAGGUCUAUGGUUUGUAGAUUCAAAAGAUUAAGUAUUGAAUCUGGAACAAAGUAAACAUAAACAUCUUUUAUUCUUAAGUACCUUAAGUGGAUGAAGUUCCCUAGAUUGGAAAGGUUCUCUUGACGACUGAUAGGUCCAAACUCUAACACUCGAACCAAUUUGAAGUCGUCAACAAGCCAUUUCCACUGAUCAUAAUGUGUCCCAAAGAAAAAUAGGGAACGAACACAUGAAUGGUCUCUUUUGCUUGCAGAAAUGUAGUCAUGCAUGGCACUGUGAAUGGACAGUCUGCGAGGUUUGUCAGGUGUGGGAGGUUUGGCAAUGCCUACAAUGUUAUUGUUUGUGCAAACUUCAAACACUUUUUCCUUUUUGCUUUGUGAUAUGCACAGAUCUCGAAGAAGAUCAUGAACUUCACACUUCUCCAAACUUCCAUUUGACUUCACUCUUGUUACUUGGACCAAACUGCGAUCGAUGAGCUCGUAUAAGUAGUCUUCCGCAACAUUAUCUGGGUCUCUAUCUCCUGUAUCUUGUAUAAAACCCUCUGCAACCCAUUUUUGCAAUAAUGGCGCAACAGGAAUUUCAAAGUCCUCAGGAAAUAAUCCAAGAUAGAGAAAACAUGGUUUUAGUCUCCUUGGCAAAUUGUCAUAGCUGAGCUUGAGAACUAUAUCAUUCACUUGGGUCUUAUCUCGAUUGAUAUAUGAAUUAACAUGAUCGACCACUUCAGACCAUAGUAUAUGUGACUUUUCCUUGUUGGCCAACAGCCCAGCCAAAACAAUGAUGGAGAGCGGCAAACCACAACAUCUUUGAACCAUCAGCUUUCCCAGAGGCUCCAAAUCAGAAGGGCAGUCUCCAUCGAUAAACACUUUCUUGCGAAACAACUCCCAACUUUCUUCUUCUUUGAGAAAUGGAAGAUAGUGAGGAACAUCAAGACCAGCAUGCAUGGCAACCUCUUUCGAACGGCUAGUAAUCAAUAUUCUGCUCCCUCUGUUGUUGUCUGGAAAAGCACUUUUCACCUUGUCCCAAUCCCUUAUAUUCCACAAGUCAUCUAGCACCACAAGAUACCUUUUCCCCUCCAAGCAGUUCUCCACCUUAUUUUUUAGCUCAUCCUCAUUCCAGUUGUUAAUGCCUCCGCAUUGUUGUUCAAAAUUUGGCAUCAACUGUUUAAGAAGGCCAAGCAAAAGCUCCUUUACUCUGCAGUCGUUCGAGACAUUAACCCACGUAAGACAAUGGAAGUGGUUCUUCACCUGGCUUUUAUUAAAGACCUUUCGGGCAAGGGUGGUCUUUCCCAAUCCCCCCAUGCCAACGAUAGAGACGACUUUACGAUUUGAACUAUCUCCCAAGAGUUGGUUGACGACAACCUCGGAGUCACGGACAAAGCCAACCACAUCUUUUACCUCCACGUCUCUUCUUAGCCUCUGCAGCCAUUCCAGCCUUUCCCUCUUCUCUUCUGCUGCGGAUUCAUUAGUGGUUUCUCUGAAAGCAUCAUAUAUGUCCUUGUUGUCGCGUAUCUCCUUGAGAGUGGUUUUGAUAUAGUCAAUUUUGGCGGAUAAGCGGUGGAGCAACCUUACUUGGCCAAAGCAACAGAGCAUCUUCUGCAAAAUGGUUUUCCUCUUGUAAAUGUCAACUUCGACUACGAAUGUGUCGAUGACAUCCUCAGCUAAGUAGGCCAUAUCUCUGAUUUGGUUCAGUACUAUAUGUUCCAUUCCCUCCUCUCUCCUUGUGUUAUUGAGGAGCUCUUUGAUCAUUUCAAGUUCUCUCUGGAGGGACUGGACUCUAUCCUUCACGCCAUACAGCAAGUUAACUUCGUCUGCCACAAGCUGGGCUAAGUGAUCUAAAGCAAAGGAAACUAUACUCUCUUCCAUUACAGCAUGGAGGAGCGUGUAGAUUUUGGAUCUGUGGUUGGAUAAUGGGUUUGUGGUUUGUGAUGGAAGAUGAGUAACAGGGAUUUACUAAGGCACCAGGAAAAGCAAUACAGUAUGUAGCUUGUAAUCGCAUAGAAAAGAAUUGCAAAUGUAUAUUAUAAAAAGUGGCUGCAAUAAUAAAGAACAUACAAGGAGUGCAUCAUGUGAAUAGCGUGGCACCCUCAUGUGCAUUGCAGCUUGUAGCCAUUCGGCUUAGAAUAUUUCUAUUUAUGAGAGUACUGUGUUGAGUUUGUUUCCUCGUUAUUAGAUGGCAAAGAAUAAUAUAUAUGUAAGAGAUUCAUUUGUUUUAUCCUUGGCUCGUCCCAAUUUUGGAUCUGUUCUUGGAUACUGUGUUCUUGGAAUAGAAUUAUAUAUAUAUAUAUAUAUAUAUAUAUAUAUAUAUAUAUAUAUAUAUAGGGUGUGUGUGAGUGUGUCAAGAUAUUGAUAUGUCUUUUUUGGAAGAAAAUGAUAUUUUAACACCAUUUUUUGAAACCAUUUUGACACUGCACACAUGUCAAAAUAUGAUUGGACGAUUUCAAAUUAAAAAAGUUGAAGCAGGGGUAUAUUUGGAAGAGAAAAACCAAAGUUUGUUUUUUUAAUUUGAAAUCGUCCAACCACAUUUUGACACGUGUGCAGUGUCAAAAUGGUGUCAAAAAAUGGUGUUAAAAUGUCAUUUUCCCUUUUUGGAUACUGUGUUUGUGGUUGGUUUCAUCGUUUUUUACAAAGAAAAUGAUAUUUUAACAUCAUUUUUUGACACUAUUUUGACACUGCACACGUGUCAAAAUGUGAUUGGACGAUUUCAAAUUAAAAAAGUUGAGACAGAGGUAUGUUUGGAAGAAAAAAACCAAAGUUUGUUUUUUAAUUUGAAAUCGUCCAACCACAUUUUGACACGUGUGCAGUGUUAAAAUGGUGUCAAAAAAUGGUGUUAAAAUUUUAUUUUCCUUUUUACAACUGUGUUUAUGGUUCAUUUACCUCAGAAUAUUUAUACUUAUGAUUGUACAGCUGUGCCGAAGUUUAUUUCCUUGUUAGGUGUAAUAGAAUAAUAUAUAUGUAAGAGAGUGCUUUGUUUUUCCACACUGUGUGAGUGAGUAGUUAAUCUAUAUAGUCACUUUGUUGUUUAUCAACUUGAUCGUCCCAACCUAUUCAAAUUGCAAAUUCACCACUCCAACGUCCCUCUUUUAUACUUUAAAUACAUAUUGCGCUGCCACUUGGAUCAAAUCUUUUAAUUUUUCAUCAAUAAUAUCUCAUAUUGACAAAUACAAUAUAAAAAUUUAUCAAUGCACUAAAUAUAUUGAUUAAUUUAUUUUUUGUUGGCUAAAAAGGCAAAUUAAAUUUAUGGAAAAGUUUCAACAAAAAAUAAAAGAUAUCGUGUAAAGGCAUAAAAAAUAAAGUUUUAAAGUUUUAAAAGUGAUAAGUAUGUUUUAAAUAAUGAAUUUCAAUAAUUUUAAUGUUAAAAGUUUAAUUAUAAAUAUGAGUUUAUAUAAACGAGUUUCAUUAUAUAAAACUACACUAUUUUUUUAGAACUAUGUUCUUAGAGUUAUUUAUCCUCUUUUUAAGAUUUUUUAUUUUUUUUCUAUCUAUUUGAAUAUCACAAAACGUUUGAGAACUCUUUCAGACAAAAUAUUUAAUUCUAUUCCGAUCAGUUUAUGUAAGAGAGUAAAUUGAUUUCUACUCUUUUCUUUAGUCUUAGUGUUUUUACAUGCAUGUGAGUGAUUUUUGCUUGCAUGUGAAGCUUGAGUCUUUCUAUUGAUCUGUUGAUCAGUAGUUUUAGAUAGUGUGUCAUGAUCAUGUUUAUGUUAUUGUAGGAGCUGUUAGAAUAUCACUAGUACAGACAUGACUUUUAUGACAUGUGAAAUUGACUUUCUAUGUCAGAGGUUUUGACAUCAUAGUUGUAUGAGACAUAUAAAGUUUGUGUUUUAUAUGACAUAAUGAAUAUCAAUCAUAAUAAGUUCAACUUACUAUAACAAGUAAAACAGUAAAAAAACAAUAAAACAUAUUUUUACUAUGAAAGAGAUAGUAAACAAAACAAAAAUUAAACUAAUAAUAAUUAAAAUUUAGCAUAUAUUUUGUCUUUUAAAAUUCAAUAUAUAUUUAAUGGUGAUAAACAAGAUUUAUGAUAAUAACAUUAAGUUAUAUAAUAGUAAAUAAAAUAUAUAUUAAAAAAUAAAAAUUAUCAAAUGUAUGUGUUAUAAAUAAUUUGAGACACUAUUAAAUGAAAUUGAAAAAAAAAACAUAUAUACAGCUAUUGGUAUAUUGAGAUGGAAUGUACCUUUUUAAUUUAAGAAAUAUUUUCAAAUUUGAACUGUUGAAAGAUAAUUAAAUAUUAUUUUAUAAAAAAAAAAAACUCUUCAAAUAAAACAAAAAGUUAAUGAUCACUGAUGAUAAAGAAGAUACAUUUUUUAUAUUACAUACUAAAUGAAAAAUUUAUUCAAUAAAAAACUUAAAAUUAAUAAUCAAACAUUCUCAUGUACAAAUAAUAAUCAAUAAAUAAAAAUAUUAAAAUUAAGUUGAAUAAUUUUUAACCAGAACAAGAACAAGUUAAAAACAUACACACGAGUUUGAGUUUAUUUAUCAUCUAAUAAUUGUUGUAAUAUUUUUUUGGUUAAAAGCUCUUUUUGGUCCCAAUUUUGGUUCAGAAAAUUCGUUUUGGUCCCUGAGUUGAAUUUGUGUUCAAUUUCGUCCCAAAGAACGAAUUUAAUGUUCAAUUUGAUCCUUUUCAUUAACACCGUUAAAAUUGUUAACGGCAAGGUGUCUAGCUCUACAACUGCUAUGUGUGGUGUCAAUUUUUUGCUGACUAGAAAACCUUUUAAGUUGGAAUUAGAAUUUUUUAAAAGAUUUAGAAGGGCAAAGUGGGAAAUCAUCUUCCACCUACUAAAAUCCUAAUUCCCAAUUCGAAACCCUAGCCGUCACCCACCCUUAAGCUACCACCUCCAUGGCAACCACCACGCCGCCAGUGACCACCACCCAACAGUCCCGCCGUCACCAACAGCGCAAUCUCCAUGCGUGACCACCGUGGAUCAUUGAGCUCCAAGUUCAACGUUUUCAGGCACAGGAAUCCCAAUUUUGCGAGGAGAAAGAAUGUCAGAUCCUCCAACUCCAAAGAAUGGAUCCUGCUGAAAAUUAGAGAUUGUUUCAUUACUCUUGAAACCAAACAUAAUUCUAAUAAAAAAAAGGAUGGACAUUGACUAACAUACAGUAAAGCAGAUGGACAUUGACUUGCAUUACAUACAAUGGAAGUCAAACUGAUAGAAUCAGGAGCAAAGUACAGAGGAUGCGCAAUUGGAAUAGGUGGCCCUCUUCUCGGGUGCUUCUUACGAAAUAUCUGGAUUGGAGUCUGACCAAAGUUGGCUAUCUGGUCUUCGAUAGCUGCUCUUUGCAUAUCGUCUUCCAUUGUUUCGAGAUCAACAACACCUUCAUAAGUCAAAUAGUAGAAGAUGUUCGCUGCCUAUAAUCCAAUGUUAAAAUUUUAACAACACAACUAAACAGAAUAAUUUAGUUUUUCCAAUUUAAUUAACUUCUGAUUGCCAUAAACUUUGUUUAAUUUAGUUUUUACCUCUACUGCAGGUUUUCCACGUUGCUUGAUGACAAUGGCGAUUGCGCUGUUGGUGACGGCGGGACUGUUGGGUGGUGGUCACCGGCAGCGUGGUGGUUGCCAUGGAGGUGGUAGCUUAAGGGUGGGUGACGGCUAGGGUUUCUGAAUUGGGAAUUAGGAUUUUAGUAGGUGGAAGAUGAUUUCCCACUUUGCCCUUCUAAAUCUUUUAAAAAAUUCUAAUUCCAACUUAAAAGGUUUCCUAGUCAGCAAAAAAUUGACACCACACAUAGCAGUUGCAGAGCUGGACACCUUGCCGUUAACAAUUUUAACGGUGUUAAUGAAAAGGACCAAAUUGAACAUUAAAUUCGUUCUUUGGGACGAAAUUGAACACAAAUUCAACUCAGGGACCAAAACGAAUUUUCUGAACCAAAAUUGGGACCAAAAAGAGCUUUUAACCUAUUUUUUUUAAUGUUAUGUUAAUUACAAAAGUUUUGCGCGUUCUAUAAAUUAGGACAUGAAUAUGUAUUUAUGAUAACAGAGAGGAAAGUUUGUAAGAAUAUGUUUUAUAUUAUGAAGACCCAUUGACUUGGAAGCUUCAAGUUUUAUGCGUUUCUCUGUGCAAUGGGUGUUAAAUAUUUACAGUAUUUUAUGAAUUAAUGUCAAUAUUUUGGGACAUUUUUCUGUCUAAAACCGGUGGAAAUUUAAAGAACAAUCACGGCCAUACAGUGUUGAAUGCAAUGUAAAAAUAAUUCAGCUGAGUCAAUUGCGUGGACAUUUUUAGAGAAUCAGAAAACUAUAAAUAGUUAAAAUUCAUAUAUUUUCUCCAACAAGAUUAUAUUCAUAGUAUAGUGAAUCCUUCAAAUGGUAUAUAGAAAAACUAGAUUAUUAUUGAUAUUUAAUUGACUCUUUUCUCUAAUGUAUUAUCUUAUAUUUCUAAAAUUUAUUUUCAAAACUAAAAGGUUCUUCGGCAUCUAUGAGAAGUUGAAUCCCAUUGUUUAUUUUCAAAUUUCGUAGCAUGCGAACCAUUUGUUCUGAUGGUUUAGUUAUCUGUACUUUUCUUAAUCCACUCAAAGACCAAAGUUCAUUUGGAAGAUCAUCUAACAUUUCACAAUUGUGGAUCAUCACACUCUCAAGUUUCUGCAUUGCACCAUUGCUUAAUUUCCACUUUGUAACUGCCAAAACACCCAUUCGAAAUAUUUCCAACUCUGGGAAACUACCUUCGACACAAUAGAACACAGAGGAAUCUCCAGACCAAGUUACAUCUCCCAAAAGUCUCAAAAUUUUGAGUUUGCUGUGAUUUCCCAAACCACUUAUCCCCUCAUCGCUAAUGCAGCUAAUCCCUGAUAACUUUAACUCUGUAAUGUUUGGAGGAAAUGUGACUGCACUUAUUAGAAGGUUCAAAGCAUUCUCAAUCUUUAAGACAGAUAGAUAAUUGAAUUGUCCUAGGUUUUGUAACAGUUCUUGUGGCUUGCAACCAUUGUUCCUUUCCACACUUUCAUGGACUGAACCCUCUACAUUUAAACUUGCAUCAUAACUAUCUGGGAGGAGAAUCUCUAACUUAUUCAGAUGACUUAAUUGUUGUAGGCUCUCCAACAAAUUGGGUAAUUCACCUUUGCAUCCAGAAUCUACUUUCAACCCCAUCCUCUUAAGAUUGGGAAAUGUUUCAUUCUUUACCAGAAAUGUUGUUUGCUUGUUGAGUUCAAGAGGAGAAAUGGUUUGAAGAUUCCACAUCUUUUCAUUUGAUCCUGAACUACUGCCUCGCAGCUUGAUAGGUCGUCGUGAAUUUAAAUGUCUUAAAUGUUUGAGCUUCCAUAUUUGUAAAGGGAAAGAAAUUGGAAUGUCAUGACUCCAAGGACCUAAGUCUAUGGUUUGUAGAUUCCAAAGAUCAAGUAUUGAAGCUGGAACAAACUUAACCUCCUCCGAGUCUAUUCUCAAGUAUCUUAAGUGGAUAAAUUUUCCUAACUUUGAAGGGAUCUUUCCGCACCUCUUUGGUUCGAGCUCUAACACCCGAACCAAUUUGAAGCCUUCCAAAAGCCAUUUCCAUUCUCUCCUAUCAACACAGUAAUCUGGACCAAAGAAUAACAGGGAACGGAUACAUGAAUGGUCAUUAUUGCUUGAAGAAAUGUAGUGAGCCAUCUUACUGUGAAUGGACAAUCUACGAGGUUUGGUCGGAAUUAGAAUGUUGUUAUCUGUGCAAACCUCAAAAACUUUGUCCUCUUUGCUCUUUGAUAUGCAAAGGUCUCGAAGAAGAUCAUGAACCCGACACGUCUCCAAACCUCCAUUCAUUUCCACUCUUGCUACUUGAACCAAACUACGAUCGAUGAGUUCGUACAAGUAGUCUUCUGCAAUAUCAUCUGGGUCUCUAUUCCCUGUAUCUUGUAUAAAACCCUCUGCUACCCAUUUUUGUAAUAAUGGCAUAACAGGUAUUUCUAAGUCUUCAGGAAAUAACCCAAGAUAGAGAAAACAUGGUUUUAGUCUCUUUGGCAAGUUGUCGUAGCUAAGCUUGAGAACUAUAUCUUUCACUUGGGUCUCAUCUCGAGUCAAAUACCAAUUAACAUGACCCACAACUUUAGACCAUUCUCUAUAUGACUUUUCCCUGUUGGCUAGCAACCCUGCUAAGACAAUGAUGGAGAGCGGCAAACCUUGACAACUUUGAACAAUAUGUUGUCCAAGUGGCUCCAAAUCAGAAGGGUAGUUUUCACCCCUAAACACCUUCCUGCGAAACAACUCCCAACUUUCUUCUUUAUUCAGGAAUUGAAGAUAGUGAGGGACAUCAUGACCAGCAUGCAAGGCCACCUCUUUCAAACGACUAGUGAGCAAUAUUCUGUUGCCUCUAUCGUUGUUUGGAAAAGCAUCUUGCACCUCGUCCCAAUCUUGCUUUUUCCACAGGUCAUCUACCACCACAAGAUACCUUUUCCACUCCAAGCAGUUCCGCACCAGUUUUUUCAGCUCCUCCUCAUUCAGGCUACUAAUAUCUCCAGCACUUUUCAUACCUUUUUUGUUGCCUCUGCGUUGCUGUUCAAAUUUUGGCAUCAAAUGCUUAAGAAGACCAAGCAAAAGCUCCUUAACUCUGCACUCGUUGGACACAUAAACCCAUGCACGACACUUGAAGCAUUGCUUCACUUGAUUGUUAUUGUAGACCUUUCGGGCAAGGGUGGUCUUCCCCAAUCCCCCCAUGCCAACGAUAGAGACAACUUUACGAUUUGAACCACCUUCCAGGAGUUGUUUGAUGACAUCUUUGGAGUCUUGGACAAAGCCAACCACAUGUUCUUCCUCCACGUCUCUUCUAAGCUUGUGCAGCGAUUGAAACCUUUCCUUCUCCUCCUCUUCUGUUGCAGAUUGAUUAUUAGUUUCUUUGAAAGCAUCAUAUUUGUCCCUGUUGUCGCGUAGCUCAUUGAGAGUGGUUCUGAUAUUGUCUAUUUUGUGGGCUACAUGGUGAAGCAACCUUGCUUGGCCAAAGCCAUGGAGCAUCCUCCCGAGAAUGGUUCUCCUCUUGUAAAUGGAAACUUUGGCUACGAAUGUAUCGAUGACAUCCUCAGCUAAGUGGGCCACAUCUCUGAUUUGGUUCAAUACAAUGUGUUCCAUUCCCUUCUUUCUCUUGGUGGUAUUGAGAAGCUCUUUGAUCAUUUGAAGUUCGUAAUGGAGGGACUGGACUCUAUCCUCCACGCCAUACAACAAGUUAGCUUCGCGUGCGGCAAGCUCACCUAAGUGAUCUAAAACAAAGGAAACUACACUCUCUGCCAUUACAGUGGAGACGUGCGUGUAGAUUUUGAUGUGUGCUUGGUAUUGUGUUUGUGAAUGGCGGUGGAAGAAAAUUUAGUAAGGCACCAGAAAGAGAAAUACAGUGUAGAUUGCAAUCUGAUAGAAAAGAGUAUCGAAAUGCCAUAGUAUGAAAAGUGGCUGCAAUAAUAAUAAAGAAUUUAUAAAGACGGGUUCAAGGAUUCUGGUUUUAUUGGUUCAUUGACUUUGCGUCAACCAUUACUACUUUUGCAGUAAACCUUCUCCUUGAGUGCAUAAUCUGAGUAGCGUGGCACCUUCGUGCUAUGUGCAUUGCACCUUCUUCCUAUUUUCCUUAUGAUAUUUACAUUAAUGACAGAACAACAUUUUCAAAUAGCUGACACAGCACUCCAACCUUUGUCUUAUAUACUUAAAAUAGACGUUGCCGUGCUGCUUGGAUCAAAUUGAUUAAAUGUAUAUCCUCACAAUUUCUCAUCACUAAUAUCUCUCAUAUUGAAAAAUGAGAUAUUGAAAAAUAAUGAAAAUGUUAACAUUUACAUCAAUAAUGCAAUGCAAUUCUUAAUUUUCCAAUUGAAGGUGAGAGUCUACCCAUUUACGUUAGCAUUUUCCACAACUCAUUAACGUACAUGUAAAUUAAAUCUAUUAUCUUAAAUUUUGAUUCGUAUCUAGAGAAUAACAUUAAAUAGUUUAAAUUGAAAUUACAUCAAUUUUAAGACUAUACUUAAUGUGUGUGUAGUAACAAACUAUGAAAAGUAGUUUUUCAAAAAAUAUCUAAACAAUUCAAGACUUGAUAUAAAAUUAUUAAUGUUUAUCCAGUUUUACUAAAUCUCAAAAUGAAAACUAAGAUUUUUUUUUCAACGUGUGUAUUAAUACAAUACUAAGUAGUAGAUCUUAAACAAAUGUUUUAGAAAUAAAAAAAAAAAAAUUGUUUACGUCUAUGAAAGUUUUAGGAUGCAAAAUAUAUCAAGUAUACUAAAAUUAAAUAUAAAUAUUUUAUUUACGUACUCAAAUGAGAAAGGUCAGCCUUUCUCAUUAUUUCUAAUAUCUCAAAAGUUUAAUUAUUUUGACGUAUUUAUCGAACACAAUGAUCAAAUUGAGAAUAUAUCUUUUAACAAGUUCAACAAUUUUGUAAAAUUUUUAUCUCUUCGUCAAUCUUUUGCUUUUAGAAUAAAUAUUUUUAAAGUUGUUAUAUUGUAAAGUUAUUGUAUAAUAAAAACACAGGCCCAAAGUCUGAAAGACUGAGGCCCAAAAACUGUGGCCCAGCAGCACUCGAACCUUCUGCAAGUCAGAAGUUAGGUGAGAUGCAGCUUCGCGAGUCUUCGUGCGAGAGGGAAGAGAAGAAGGCGAUCUCCAUGGUGCUCCGGCGAUGCUUUCUGCAGCGGUGCUUGAACGGAAAAUGCAAGGCAGAGAUCAAGAUGAAGAAACGUGGUAAUAGAGGUAAGAGAAUAUUAGAGUAUUCUGAUUGACUGAAUGAAAAUGAUGAUUGUUUGUAUUUGCUAUUAUGAAACAGAGACGCUGGAAUCCCUAUUAUAUAGGGUUCCGGUGAGUAUUGAUUACACACAAAGAAAUUCGUUAGAAUCCCUAACAGAAAAAUAAAAACCCCAUAAUAAAACCCUAAAACUUGAUUAUUCUUCUCUUCUUAGGAAGAGUAAUUACAAAACAGAAAAUAUUAAUCCUGUUGUAGAAAGAUCUUAAGAGAUAUGUAAAAUCAAAAUCAAUCUUAUACGUUUCAUUACUGGCAUCAAUCUUAUUUUUAAACUGUGAUAACUCAACGUGAAUCAAAAUCAAUCAAGCAAAUUUACACACACACAUAAAACUAAAUGGUUUGAAUUAAAAAUUACACUAAAUUUAAAGUUACACUUAAUGUAGAUGUAUUAACACACACAAUGGAAUAAAACUAAAUGGUUUGAAUUAAAAAUUACACCAAAUUUAAAGUUACAUAAUCACCCAAUUCAAGACUUGAUACUUAAAUUAUUAAUAGUUAACUAUUUUUACUAAAUCUCAAACAAAAAUUAAGAUUCGUGCAUGAUUACACUAUUUCUUUUAAAAAAUUAGCAAAAUAAAUACAAACCACAAAUUAACCAACUUCUAUAUUUAGGUAAAUUUAAUAUAAACAUAUCAAUACUUAUUUAGAAAUAAAAAAAAAAAUCAUAUAAAAUUUUUAAAUUUAAUAUAAAAUUAUGUUUAUACAAAUAUAUAACAUAACAAUAACUUGUCGAUUUUAAAAAAUAUUUUAUACAAACAUUUUUUUUAAAUGUAUAAAAUUUUGAGGAUGUCAAAUAUAAAAAAUAUGUUAAAACUGAAAAGAAAUAUCUUUUUAUAUAUUAAUUUCUAUGUAUGCAAAAUAAAAGGAGUUUAAGGCUCAUUGGUCGAUGAACGAAGUUGUUGGAGUGCUGUUUAGGGAGCGUCGUUUUAAGGGGAGAUAAACUUUCAAGUUUGUUUGCAUGGUUAAUAUAAGUGUUGAUGGCUUCGUGACCACAAAUAAUGAACGGCGAAAGACGGUGAACGUUGAAUGACAAUAAAGAACAAUGAUCAAACAAAUGAGAACGAAGAAGAGUAACGAAGGAAUGAAUGAGAGUGAAAAAGAGUGAUGAACUUGAGAAAUUAGGGCUUGUGAUGUGAAUGAGAGUGAUGGAAAGAAAAGUGAUGGAAUCUUUGAUAUAGCAGGACUGAAAGUCGUAGAGGGAAAUGGGAAAUAGAGAGAUACUAUGACUAAAAACCAGUCAUAAUACUUUCCCUCAUGUAUUAUAACAGUUUUUUAUAAGUAAGUCUUAAUUUAUUUACAAGUUUGAUACUGCGUUUAAUAUUAUGAUUGGUGUCCACAACUCUAUCAUAACAUGUUUUGAAAUUAUUUAUAAGUUUGUCAUCGCGUUGUAUAUUAUGACAGGUUUCCAAAAUUCCGUGAUAAUAUGUCUUACGUUUAUUAUAAUUCUAUCACGGAUCAACUAUGAAUGGUGGGUGGUUUUUAUCAGUGAUAAUAGGUUGUCAUAGAAUAUUUUUUUUUUUCACUAGUGAUAUUAUGAGAUUAUGGUAUAUAUCAUAUCAUUUAUAUUAAUAAGCAAGCUGAGAUCAUUUUUUAUAAUAAAUACAUUAAAUAUGAGUAUUUUCCACAAGCUAUUCAAAAUUUUGUCUUUUAUUUCAACAAAUAAAAUACAUCCACAAAAUAAAUUAAAACUAUUUUCUGGAAUAAAUCUCUUAGAUGUCACUAAUAUAUUCAAAAGUAUUGAAAUCCAUCGAAUCAAUACUAUUCAACCGACAUUGAAAUCGAGGCUGAUAAUCCUCUGUGACGAGUUGAACCCCAUUCUUUAUUUCCAAAUUCCUUAGCAUGCGAGCCAUUUCUUUUGAAGGUUUCAUUACCUGCACUUUUCUCAAGCCACUCAAUGACCAAAGUUCAUUUGGAAGAUCAUCUAACCUUUCACAAUUGUGAAUCAUCACACUCUGAAGUCUCGACAUUGCACCAUUGUCUAGUUUCCACUUUUCAAGGUUCAAAUUUUCCAUUUCAAUCACUUCCAAUUGCGAGAAGCCGCCUCCGACACAAUUCAAGUCAAAGGAUUCCCCCGUCGACAAGGAUACAUCUCCCAAAAGUCUCAAUUUUUUUAGUUUGGUGUGAUUUCCCAAACCAUUUAUCCCCUCAUCACUAAUGCAGUCAAUCUCUGACAACGUUAAUUCUGUAACAGUUGGAGGGAAUGUGAGUUCACAGGUUAAAAGGUCGAAAGCAUUCUUAAUGGUUAAAAUAGUUAGACAAUUGAAUUGUCCUAAGCUCUGUAACACUUCUUGCGGCUUGAAACCAUUGUUCCUUUUCACACUCUCAUCGGUCAAGUCCUUUACACCUUCAUCAUCUCUAUCUCGGAGGACAAUUACUAACUUGUUCAAAUAACUUGAUUGAUGUAAGCUCUGCAACAAUUUGGGUAAUUCAGCUUCACAUUCUGAAGUCACUCUCAACCCUAACCUCUUAACAUUAGGGAAUGUUCCUCUUUUUAUCAAAGACAUUGCUUGGCUAUUGAGUAGCAAGGAAGAGAUAGUUUGAGCAUUCCACAUCUUCUCAUAUGAUCCUGAACAACUGCCUCGCAGCUUGAUAGGUCGUGGUGUAUUUAAAUGCCUUAAAUGUCUCAGUUUCCAUAUUUGGGCAGGGAAAGAAAUUGGAACGUUAGCCCUCGGAGGACUUAGGUCUAUGGUUUGUAAAUUCCAAAGCUUAAGAAUUGAAUCUGGAACAAACAUAACAUACUCUAUGUGUAUUCUCAGAUACUUUAAAUGGAUAAAAUUCCCUAAAUUGGAAGGGAUCUUGUUAGAGCCGUUUAGUCCAAACUCCAAUACUCGAACCAAUUUCAAGUUUUCAAAAAUCCAUUUCCAGUCCCUCCCACGAAUAUAGUAAUGUGAGCCAAAGAAGAACACGGAACGAACACAUGAAUGAUCAUUAUUGCUUAAAGAAAUGUAGUGAUCCAUCUUACCGUGAAUUGAAAGCCUGCGUGGUUUUGCUGAAAUUAGAAUACUAUGGUCUGUGAAAACUUCAAAAACUUUGUCCUCUUUGCUUUCUAAUAUGCAAAGAUCUCGAAGAAGAUCAUGAAUCUGACAUGUCUCCACACCUGCAUUAGUCUCUACUCUUACUACCUGGACCAAACUACGAUCAAUGAGCUCAUAUAAGUAGUCUUCCGCAACAUCGUCUGGGUCUCUGUUUCCUGUAUUUUGUAUAAAACCCUCUGCAACCCAUUUUUGCAAUAAUGGUGUGACAGGUAUUUCAAAGUCUUCUGGAAAUAACCCAAGAUAGAGAAAACACGGUUUUAAUCUCUUUGGCAAAUUGUCAUAGCUGAGUUUCAGAACUAUAUCCUUCACUUGGGUCUCGUCUUGAGUGAGAUACCAAUUAACAUGACCCACCACUUUAGACCAUUCUCUAUGUGACUUUUCCUUGUUGGCUAGCAGCCCUGCUAAGACAAUGAUGGAGAGCGGCAAACCACGACAACUUCGAACCAUCUGCUUUCCCAAAGGCUCCAAAUCAGAAGGGUAGUCUUCACCCCUAAACACUUUCCUGCGAAACAACUCCCAACUUUCUUCUUCAUUCAGGAAUUGAAGAUAGUGAGGAACAUCAUGGCCAGCAUGCAAGGCCACCUCUUUCAAACGACUAGUGAUCAAUAUUCUGCUGCCUUUGUUGUUGUCUGGAAAAGCAUCUAGCACCUCGUCCCAAUCUUGCUUUUUCCACAAGUCAUCUACCACCACAAGAUACCUUUUCCACUCCAAGCAGUUUCGCACCAAUUUCUUCAGUUCCUCCUCACUAAGGUCGUUAAUUUCUCCUGCGCUUUUCUUACCUCUUUUGUUGCCUCUACGUUGUUGCUGUUCAAAAUUUGGCAUCAAAUGCUUAAAAAGGCCAAUCAAAAGAUCCUUAACUCUGCACUCGUUUGAGACAUAAACCCACGCGCGACAAUCGAAGUGGUUCAUCACCUGGCUGCUAUUAUAGACCUUUCGGGCAAGGGUGGUCUUUCCCAAUCCCCCCAUGCCAACGAUAGAGACAGCUUUACGAUUUGAACCUCCUUCCAGGAGUAGGUUGAUGACAUCCUUGGAGUCAUGGAUAAAGCCAACUACAUCUUCUUCCUCCACAUUUCUUCUUAGCUUGUGCAGUGAUUGCGCCCUUUUCUCCUCCUCCGCCUCUUCUGCUGCAGAUUGAUUAUUGGUUUCUUUGAAAGCGUCAUAUUUGUCCUUGUUGUCGCGUAUUUCGUUGAGAGUGGCUUUGAUCGUGUCUAUUUUAUCGGCUACGUGGUGGAGCAACCUUAAUUGGCCAAAGCCACGGAGCAUCUUCCCCAGAAUGGUUCUUCUCUUGUAAAUGGCAACUUUGGCUACGAAUGUAUCGAUGACAUCCUCAGCUAAGUGGGCCACAUCUCUGAUUUGGUUCAGUACAGUAUGUUCCAUUCCCUUCUUUCUCUUUGUGGUAUUGAGGAGCUCUUUGAUCAUUUGAAGUUCGUUCUGGAGGGACUGGACCCUGUCUUCCACGCCAUACAGCAAGUUAGCUUCGCGUGCCACAAGCUGGGCUAAAUGAUCUAAUACAAAGGUUACUACACUCUCUUCCAUUACAGCGGAGACGUGUGUGUAGAUUUCGAUCUGUGCUUGAAUACUGGGUUUGUGGUUGGUGAUGAAGAUUUACUAAGGCAACUGAAAAAGCAAUAGAGUGUAUCGCAUAGAAAACAAUAUAUAUCCAAAUAUAUAGUAUGAAAAGUGUCUGCAAUAAAGAAUUUAUAAAGACUUGGGUUCAAAGGCUCUGGCUUUAUUUUUGCAUUGACUCGUCAACCAUGGCUACUUUGAAAUUGAACCUUCCCAGUGAGUGCAUAAUGUGAGUAGCUUGGCACCUUCCUGCUAUGUGGUGCAUUGCACCUUCUUGAAUAUUUGUAAUUAUGACAGUACAACUGUGUUCUGUUUCGUCGUUAUUACAUGUGAUAGAAUAAUAUAUGUGUAAGAGAUUGAUUUGUUUUUUCUGCAUUCUGUGGGUAGUUAGUCUGUAUAGCAACAUGUUGUAUGUCAACUUGAUCGUCCCAACGUAUUCAAAUUGGGAAGACAGCGCUCCAACCUUUGUUUUAUAUACUUUAAACACAACGUUUUGAUCAAAUUGACUAACUAUAUAUCCUAACAGUAAUAUCUUAUAUCGACAAAAAUAAAAUAGAAGAACUUAUUAAUAUACUAAAUAUGUUAAUUUAUUUUGGUUAAGCAAUAGAGUGUAGCUUGCAAUUGCAUACAAAAGAAUAUUCAAAUGUCUACUAUGAAAAGUGGCUGCAAUAAUAAUAAAGAAUUUAUAAAGACUUGGGUUCAAGGAUUCUGGUUUUAUUGGUCCAUUGACUUUGCGUCAACCAUUACUACUUUUGCACUAAACCUUCUCCUUGAGUGCAUAAUCUGAGUAGCGUGGCACCUUCCUGCUAUGUGCAUUGCACCUUCAUGUUCUCUUAUGACAGAACAACCGUGUUCGGUUGUUUCCUCGUCAUUAGAUGCAAUAGAAUAAUAUAUAAGAGAUUGAUUAGUUUUUUCACGUUCUGAGUAGUUAAGCUAUUUAGCCGCAUAUUAUAUAUCAAUUUGAUCGUCCAACGAAUUCAAAUUGCAAACACCAUUCAAACUUGUUGUUUGGAUCAAACUGACUAUAUAUAUAUAUAUAUAUAUAUUAACUCUCGUAAGUAAUAUCUCAUAUUGGAAAAAAAAAUAGAAGAACUCAUUAAUAUACUAAAUGUAUUUUAAUUAAUUUAUUUUGGUUAGUAAGGUCAAACUAAAUUCAUUAUAAGGUUUAAACGAAAAAUAAAGGGUAUACUCAUUUGAAAUUUCAAAAUAAUAAAUUUUCUAAGAAAAGUAUUAUGGCAUUCUAUUGAUAAUAUCAAUACUAUAUAAAUUAUUUUAACAAUGUAUUAAAAUCAGAUCAUAGUUAAAUGAAAUUUAAAAAAAAAAAUGAAAAAAAGUCACUCAAUAUUGAAAUCAUACAAGUUUUAAUUAAUUGUUUUUUUUAUUGAUUUUUUUUUUAUAAAAAUUUUAUGAUUUUUGUAAUACGUAGAAUAUUCAUUCUAUAAAACAGUUCCAUUUAUAUUCUCUUUCAAACUUUUUCUCGAUUUCAACUCUAAUAAUAGUAGAACACAAUGUUAAAUCAACAUGUUUCUCUUUUAAGUUAUUGAAUUUUAGACAUUUUCCUUUAAAUAUAACGACGCCAUGAUUGUAUUUAAGUAAUAUGAUAUAGACACAAUUAUAAUCAUAAAGUUGAAAAUGUAACCCUAACAAAUUAUAUGAAAAAUAAAAAUGGAAUGAAUUUCUUAAUAAGAAUACAUUUUUUUUUUAAACAAUGUAGAAUUAUUUUAUUGAAUUUUUUUUACAUGAAAAUAAUUUUGAAGUUGAUAUAUAAUAUAUGUAAUAUAAAUUAAAUUUUAUAGAAGGAAGACAAUUAUAAUUCAUGUCGGAUAUGAUUUUAGUCGACGCAAAUUUUGGAAUUUAAAAAGAAAUUGGUUCAUUUUGACUUAAAUUUAAAAAAAGGUAGAAAAACAACGUUAUACCAAACUGGAUAUUCUAUUUGUGUUGAAAUAAUAAUUAUCUAUUUCUAUUUAAUUUACCUAAACAAUUAAACAAAAUUAAUUAUACCCAAAAGAAUAUAAUUUGUCCAUGUUUUAUUUGCUGCAAAUCAUCUUGAAAUAAGGUAAUUCAUCUUGAAGGACUUAAACUAUUUAAUUCAUGUUAUUAUAACCACAGAUAAAGAUAAACUAAAUAUAACUAAAUGUUAAUUGAAUUAUCAUUGUUCAGAAAUCAUUCAUAUUUGUAGGAUUAAGACUAUCAUCCAAUAAAUAAUGUAAAUUAGUUACAUUCUACUGUAUAUUAUAUCAAAAACAAAUUUUUAAAUAUUAGUAUUGACAAGUAAGUAAUAGCUUACAAUAGGAUUAUUUAUUUCUUUACCAUUACUUACAUCAAUUUUCCUUUUAAAUUGUGAUAACUCAACGUGAAUCAAAAUCAAUGCAGCAAAUUUAUUUUUGUAAAACAGACAAUACUUCAUAUUCAUCAAACACAAUUUAUGAUCAAAUUGGAAAGUAUAUCUUUUAGCAAAUUCAAAAAUUUUGUAAAAUUUUUAUCUCUUCGUCAAUUUUUUGCUUUUAGAAAUAAAUAUUUUUAAAAUUGUUAUAUUGUAAAGUUAUUGUACUUUGGAUAGUUGUUUCUGAUAUUCAGUUUUUCCUAUUCUCCUGUUGUAGAAAAAUCUUAAAAGAUAUGUUCAAUCAAGAUAUAUAGUAAAAGUCUUCAUUCAUAAGGUGAGUAACAGAGAGUUUAUUUUAUUACAUAACUCAUUUAAGUAAACAUUUUCAUAAUUAAUUAAAACAUACAAAUUGAGUCAUUUUAAUUUUGAUAAAAUUUCAAUCGUACUUUGUAUUGUUCUAAAUAGUAUGUGAAAUGUGCAUCAUGUUAAAUUGUGCAUCCAAAGAAUAGCACUAAAAGGUCUGAAUGAAAAAUUACACCAAAUUUAAGAUUACAUUUAAUCUGGAUGUAUUAACAAAGUAUGAAAAAAAAAUUAAAACGGUCUAAUCAUCAAUUCAAAACUUGACACAUAAAUUAUUAAUAUCUAACCAUUUUUACUAAAUCUCAGACAAAAAUUAAGAUUUGUACAUGAUUACACUAUUUCUUUUAAAAAAGGUUAGCAAAAGAAAUACAAACCACAAAUUAACCAACUUUUAUAUUUAGGUAAAUUUAGUCUAAAGAUAUCAAUCCUUAUUUAAAAAAAAAAAAAAUCUCAUAUAAAAUUUUUAAAUGUAAUAUAAAAUAAUGUUCAUACAAAUAUAUAAUAACAAUAAGUAGUGAUCGAUCUUCAGAAAAUAUUCUAAAAAUACAAACAUUUUUUUUAGAUGUAUAAAAUUUUGUAUAAGUCAAAUAUAUAAAAUAUGUUAAAACUAAAAAUAAAUAUUUUUUUAUAUAUUAAUUUAUAUGUAUGCAAAAUAAAGAGGUUCCAAUGGUCACUGAGAACGCUAGAUGAAAACAGAGUUGUUAGAAGGAUAAUUAUACUUUGACAUCCAGAAUGUGACAAAUUUUUGACACCGUCACGUGUCACAUUUUGGAUGGUCCACAUGUUUUAAAAAAAUAAAAUGACAGAACAUGGAUUGAAUGUGUAGUGAUAGACAUGGUAUCAAUGUACUGUCACAUUCUGCGUGCCAAAGUAUUAUUAUCCUUGUUAGAAUACUGUUUAGGAAGCGUCCUUCUAAGGGGAGAGAAACUCUGUAGUUUGAUCGCAUGGUUAAUGUAGGUGUCUUUUUCUCUCUUAUGUUAAGGUUAUUUGUGAUCCUUAGAAAUAUUUAAUAUAAUUUAAUAGAAAUAAAUUAUCCUAUUGAAAUUUAUAUUUUUACGAACUAUUAAUUUUAUAUUUUUAAGUGAAUGUUUUUUAAUUUUAUCAUAUUGAUUUUGUUUAAAUCAGAAUUAUUACUAUUUAUGAUUUUAUUUUAAUCAAUUUUAUUAUUAUUUAAUCUCUUUUUCAUAUAAAUAUAACAUGAGGAAAAUACACAAUAAAUAUAACAACUUAUACAAAAUUGGUUUUUGUCUUUUGUUUUAUAUUAUCUUUUAAGAUAUUAAUAUUCAUAAAAUUUAGAGACCAUUUCAUGCACUUGAUCAAUUUAACGAAAUUGUUGUAUCCUUCGAAGAAAUCUACAUAUUGUUUUGUCACGUGCAAUGCAAAUGAUUUCUCUUUCAGGACAUUGUUACCAUGUUUCAAUCCAAACUCUUUUAAUAUUUUUUUUCAUUUAAAACUUUUAUUUUACCUUGUCAUUGAUUAUUAUAAAAAAUGUUCUGUUUGGUGAUUUUUUUUUUCUUUUAUUUGCUCUGUUUUUUUAUUAUUAAAUUAUUUAUUUUCUAACAACUAAAGGGCCUAAUAUUGUACAUUUAAAACACCACCACACAAAAAUAUAAUACAAAUAAAAAAUGUUCUUUUUAAAUCACCAUAUAAUAACAAAAGUAUUUGUUGAUAAAAUACAUUAUAAAUCCCGUCAAAAAAAUUGUUAAUAAAUUUAAAUUUAUCAACAACUUUACUAUAAAUAAUAAUAACAAUUCUUUGAUAAUUAACACAACUGUUUUCGCUGUAGAUUAACUAAAAUACCAUCUUUUCCUUUCUUCACCGUUAUAUCCAUUAUAAAUUGUAAACAUAGAUAUUUACUUCUUCACUAUUAAUAAAAUUGAUGUAAAGUUGACCCAUUAGUUUCUUUUGACUUUCUUCAUAAUUUUAACAAAGACGGUAAGAAGAUGCUUAAUUGCAAUGAUAAAACUUGUAUAGUCUUUGCUAAGCUUUUAAAGGAAAUCAAAGAUUCUUUCUUCUUCAACUUCCAAUAAAUUAUUUUAAAUAUAAUCACAUAUUUAUAAAACUGUUAUUGUUAACUAAGCACGUUUUAAAGUUAUUGUUUUAAAAAAUUGACGGAUAAAAUAUUCAUUAUAGUAUCUGUUACUAUUAAUAUUUAAAUUUUCAGUUCUCAUCUCUUUUAAUAUAUCAUUUUCAAUAUCAACUUAAGCAAUGAUUUUUUAAUAUUUUUAUUAAAUAAAUCCGAAAUCCAUCUUCAUUCAUUAAACCCUGCUUUUGCACACCAUUGUUAUUCUUUAUAUUUGUUUUUGUAUUAAAAAUGGUAGAAUUUUUGCCAUAAUUUAUUCUGUACAUUGAAUAUUAUGUUUCCUCACCAAACUAAGUAUCUAAGAAGGACGAAUAUAUAUAAACGAUGAUAUCUAAAAAGGAACACAACCUUUGUAGUUUUUUUCUUAUUAUUAUUUUUAAUUCAACUCUAAACAACAAUAAUUAUUUUAUUUAGUUAAAAAAUGUAUAUUAACAUAACAAACAUUAUUAACCGUUUAUAUAUAUAUAUAUAUAUAUAUAUAUAUAUAUAUAUAUAUAUUAUUUAUAUUUAAAAGUACUGUUAUUAACAUCAAAUACUCCAAUCCAAAAUAGUUUUUCUCUUGCGUGUUUUAUUUUUCUACGUGAUUUAACAAAUACUAUGAUUUUUCCAUAUUUAGGCAAUUGAUAUUUCUCUCACUUAGCAAUAAAAAAAUAUAUGAAUAUAUCUAUUAUAAAAGUGUAUCGAUUAAAAUCUAUCACUUAGCAAUAAAAAAAAUAUUAAUACGAAUAUCUCUAUUAUAAAAAUGUAUUGAUUAAAAUCUAUCACUUAGCAAUAAAAAAAAUACGAAUAUAUCUAUUAUAAAAAUGUAUCGAUUAAAAUCUAGACAUCAAAUAUUGAACUGUAUUUUAUCUAAUUAGAUUAGAUAAUAUUUUUUAAAGAAUAGUCUAUCAUUUAAUCUUUUUAAGUCAGAACUGGUAAUAUAAAAGGAUAAUGGUAAGACUUUCUCAGAGAUAAACCGGAGACAGAAUCAAUUUUCUGGUGUGCUUUUGGUUUUGACGUUUGCAAAGCUUUCUGCGUUUGGACGUGAAAAUCAGCGUAACAGAGACAGGUAUUUUGUUACAUUUAAGUGAAACGUAUCAGUAUAUAUAGUAUUCGUAGGGUAUACGUAUACUCCAAUAUAAUACUUCCAAAGAGGGUAUAACUGGAAAACUGCGUUUUGGUUUUGAAUUUUUUUAAAAUCACAAAUAUCACCGUUCUUUAAGGCAAGAAGAAGGGUCACAGUGGCGUUUUUACUUAACCCAUUCCCAUUCCAAUUCAAUUUCCUUCAGUAACCCUAACCUAACCCUAAACCAAAAAUUCAGAGGCUUUCUGUUUUGUGUCUGUCGAUGCUCCGCGUUGGUGCUGCCAAGGCUCAAUCGGAGAGGAGGGUUCCUUUGUUAAAUGCUCUCUCUCUUCUCUCUCUGCUUUCCCUUUUCUCUUUUCAUGUCUUCAAUCACCGCAUCUGCCUCUGCUCCUUCAGGGUCUCCAAAAACCCUACUUUUUGAUUUUCAUCCCAACCCUUUUCCUCUUUUCCAUUCUCGUCCUUUGAUAAUCAAUUUCAGCCUUUUGGGUUUCCAACUUCCAUCUCCUCACCAACACGACUGAUUCUAAGGUGCGAUUUCGCCACGUUAAUUCUCAAUUUCGUCCUUUUCUGCCUCUCGUUUCUGGAUUGAAUUUUUGUCAUUCUUUACUGUUUCUUAGUUCGACUUGUCUUUGAUCUCCGUUGUCAGUCGCUUCUGUGAAUUGAGGGUUUUAGUGUUUCUGAUGAUAGUACGAUAAUUGAUUGAUUUUUCUAUUACGAAUCUUAUUUAGUAUAAUGCCGUGUUUUGUUUGCCCUUCUUCCUUUUUACCUGCUUCGCUGUAGUAUUUGUUGGGACUUUGCUACUUAUUGAUUGACUGUUUUAUCCGGUUGUUCUAUUGUUUUGUGCCAUACACACACAUACAUAUAUAAAACCUUUUUUAUGAAUUUAUUAUUUGUUGAAAUUUUAAUGCACUUUUUCUUUGUUGGAUUUGUGCGCCUUUUUUUCGCAGAUGCUACUAUUUGGGUCAUUUACUGAAGAUGAAACCCGAUCACUGCUGUCAAAGCAGUCUUCUGGGAAAAAUGAAAAGCCUGUGGAGAAGAAUCAGCUGCAGUUUGGAUCUCUGAAUUCUGUUACUGUUGAGUCAAACAACCUGCAAAACUCAUCAAAGGCAUCAGUUAGUGCACCGCCCUCUGAUUCUCAGAAAUGUAAUGGAGUGAAAAAUGAUAAUGAUAGUUCAUCUGAAGUUCCAGGAGCAAUUAAUGAGAAUGGCAGCAUUACCAAUUUCUCCCCUAGCCCCACGAGUACGAGUAGUGUGAAUGAAGUUGACGAGAAAAAUGCAAAUUCUUUUACAUUACUUGAUGAAGAUGGUCCCUCAAACAAGUUUUCAAAAUUGAGCCUAGAUGCUUCCGAGACUGAAAACUCGAGGAAUGUACAUAAAACUGGCAAUGGAGAUGAUUCUUCAUUAAAGUUCUCCCAUCGAGAACCCGCAAAGGCACCUAACGGGCAUGCUGUUCUGCCUGUUAAAGACAUACUGCCUCGAGGCCUUAUCAACUCUGGGAAUCUUUGCUUUCUUAAUGCAACCGUGCAGGCCCUGUUGUCAUGCUCACCUUUUGUUCAUCUUUUACAGCAAUUAAGAACUCGCAACCUUCCUAAGGUUAGUCUGUCUGCUGCUGCAUGUCAACUAAUGCUGCCAUCUAGAGAUUUUGUCUUAACUUAUAGACGACAUUAUAUCAUUAAAGGAAUACAGACCUAACAGCUGUAUCAUACAUUUUUAUUUCCCUUAUGAUAGCAAAGUAAUGACCUGACCUUAUUGCACGUUUAUUGUUCUGUAUUAUAUCAGGUUGGAUAUCCUACAUUGACAGCAUUUGCUGAGUUCAUAACCCAAUUUGAUAUGCCAAGCAACACUAACAUAAACAAGCAAGAUACGGAUAUGUUUGAGUCUGGAAGGCCAUUUUGCCCUGUUAUGUUUGAAAGUGUUCUAAAAAAUUUUACUCCAGAUGUGCCAAAUAGCAUUUCAGGAAGACCAAGGUUGGUGAUAAUUCCUUAUUAUUUUUUUUUUCUGUUUUUAUGUUACUUUCCUAAUCACCCCCUCCCAAACAAAAAAAAUCUAAAUAAUAUUCUUCCAUAACCAUAUCUUUAGUUGUACCAUUGUGUUUUUCACUAACAAUGCCGCAUGUACUUGCCCAUGUCAUGAAUCCAUGCUAGUUGGUUUAUUUUUAACCAGUAAUCAAAUGUUAAAAGCAUAAUCUCAUUGUCAAAAAAUAAUUUAUCAAUGGUCAUUCAUGUUUAUAAUCUUUGCCAGUCAUGUUAUUGACUUGUUUAGUGUUAUUGUACAUGUAUAGAUAUAAUCUUCAUUUUCUUUCUUUCUCCAUCCUCUUUUGGUACUCUUCAAAUUUGCUUCCACUUGUAUUCCUCAUUUAAACAAUUUUAAUUGUGAACCAAUGUGUCUCGGAUUUUCUGGACCCAUCCAGAAAGUUAUUUGGUAAUUUGAAAGUGUGCUGCACAGUUGUCAUGUUGUAAAUGGUAAUAUAAAUAUACAAAUUUGAAAUAUAAUAAUCAGUAUCAACAUGUCACUUUCAGGCAGGAAGAUGCUCAGGAAUUUCUGAGCUUUGUAAUGGAUCAAAUGCAUGAUGAAUUACUGAAGCUGGAAGGACAAUCUUCAAGUCUUAAUGGCACUCAAUUUUCUCUUGUUUCUUCUGUGGAAGAUGAUGAAUGGGAAACAGUGGGGCCGAAGAAUAAAUCUGCUGUUACAAGGACUCAAAGCCUUCGCCCAUCAGAAUUAAGUAGUAUUUUUGGAGGAGAGCUUAAAAGUUUGGUGAGAGCUAAAGGUACAAAACUUAACUUUAUUAUACGGCGUUGUUUUAACUGUAAAGACCAUUAAGAUUUUGUGGAAUUUCAUCUGGUAAGUCUGUUGCUUCAUGCUGAAUAGUUGUAAUUCUGGGAAUUUUACUUUUUGUUCUUGCCAAAAUCCACCUUACCUUUCAUUGUUGAUAUUAAAACUUGAAAGAAGAAAUGGAAAUGUAAAUGUAAAUGAAGUAUCUAAAAGCCAAUGUGGCCAUCUCAUGAUUUAUUUUUUGUCAUUUAGGAAAUAAGUCGGCCUUUGUUCAACCAUAUCUCUUACUCCAUCUUGACAUCUAUCCUGAGACCGUACACACUAUCGAGGAUGCACUACGCUUGUUUUCUGCAUCAGAAACUCUUGAAGGGUACCGGGUAUCACCCACUGCAAAGGUAUUUAACCCUUUUAAUACAUUAUCUGUCACAUUUGACAUACAAUGUUCAUGCAGAUAAUGUUUUUAUGCAAGUGGACUACGAUACAUUGGUACUAAAAUACUCCUAAAUAGUUGCCAUUAUAUUUUCAGUACUACUGGUACCUGUGGGGUACUCUGCUACACAUUCAAUACUCACUCAUUACACAAGUAUAAGUCAGUCCAUUCUUAACAAGUUUUAAUGCUGUGUUAUUUGCUUUGAUACUAAAUGACGCAAAUUGUUGCUUCACUUGAAUCACUCCCUUCAAAACUUAUGCCCUUAAACGUGUUUAGGGACUUUAUAGUUAUAACAUUGGGAACUCUGUAUGCGGACGAUGAUUUUAAUGGAGCUUAUAGCUUUAGAAACUCAUUUGUACUCUAUAUUAUGUGUGGAACUGUAUGUUCUUUGAGUUUGAAUCCUUGGGUUCUUUCUUCUGCUGACUCUCUCCAUUUUGUAUUUGUUUAACUUUCAUUGCAAACUAUAUUUUAUAGGUUUUCUUACCCAACUUGGCUUUCUAUAGUGCGCAAUUAUAGCCUUUGGUUGCAAUAGAGGAUAUGCUUUGUACUACUGCAAUUAAAAUAUCCAUUUAAAUUUCUUUCAGGCUGGUGUGGUGACUGCAAGAAAAUCUGUACAAAUAGUGACGCUUCCUAAAAUAAUGAUAUUUCACCUGAUGCGUUUUGGUUACGGAAGCCAGGGAAGCAUCAAGUUGCAUAAGGCCGUGCAGUUUCCUCUUGAGUUGGUAUUGAGUCGUGAUUUGCUUGUUUCACCAUCUACUAAGGUGACGUAAUAUGUCUUUAUAUUCUAGCCUCUCUGUUUCGGAUGUAUAUGUGUGAUCAUGUUGAUAAACCAUGGCCUCUCUUUUUGAUUACUAGAAUGCAGCUACUUUAUUGUCGAUGAUGUACUGAUCUUUUUGUUUUGGAGAUUGUUCUGUGAAGGUUUUUGCAUAAUAAAUUUGUUUAUAUUACCUCAAAUGUUACUACUUUUUUCGAAUUCACUUUUAUUCCAUCAAUUCAUGGAAUCUCUCUUCUAAAAACAUGGAUAGAUAGCUAAGUUUCUGAUACAUUAUUCUUACCCUAAACAACUUUCUACCACACUAAUUUCAACAAAAAUCAGGCAAGGGAGUAUAUUCUACUGCUGAUUAUAAGUGAAUGUUUCUACUCAGUAUCUUAAGAAAAUUAAACUUAAGAAUGUAAGAAGAUAUUUGAGUUCCUUUAUGAUAACUGAUACUUUAAUCUUCCACUGCACCCUCAGAAUAAUUUCUGGAGUAUUAUUGAAUGUUGAUUGGAAGAGGGCACUGUGGCUGAUUUAUUUUUAUGCUUCUGCAGGGUCGAAAGUAUGAACUUGUUGCUACAAUUACUCACCAUGGAAGGGAGCCUUCGAAGGGGCACUACACAGCUGAUGCCCAAUACCCUAAUGGUCGGUGGCUACGAUUUGAUGAUGCAUCUGUCUUUGCUAUUGGAACAAAUAAGGUGCUGCAUGAUCAAGCCUAUGUCCUUUUCUACAGACAGCUGUGAAAAUAUUCAUGUUGUGUCAAAUAUCUACUCCCUUCCUGCACCUGACACAAAAACAUAACUCCCCCUAUAAAAAGGGAUUGCCAGUUGAUUAGUAUCUUGCAUGGGGAGAAUGUGGGUGAUUAUUUAUUAGCUGGUCAAUGUCCUUUGCUCAGGGCUCAAUGUCAUAAAUGGUUGAUCCAAUUCAGUGUGUGAGAAGAGUAAUUGUUGUAACAUUUUUUUUAUGUUAUCUUAAACUAGAAAAGUUUUGUAGUCCUAGUUUAGGACAUGAACAUGUAUUUAUGGUAACAUCCAGUAAAGGUUUAUAAGAAUGUUCUGAAUAUUAUGAAGAAUUAAUUGACUUGCAUCUAAAGUUGUUAAGCUUUAGCUUUGAUGCGUUUCUCGUUUAAUGAGUGUUAAAUAUUGCAGCUUCUUUUAUGAUUUAAUGAUUCUUUAGAUCUCUUCGAUUCCAGAAGCCAUGCUAAAAUUUUCGGACUUCAAUUGUCUAAAACCGGUCGAAAAUUCAAAGAACAAUCGAUCACGGUCUAACCAUAUUGGUUGCAAGUUGUUUUAGACAGAAGCAUGGUUUCUCUAUGCUGUAAUCAAAUUUUUGUUGUUUUGCUGUUUAAGUUUUCACCUUGAUGCUACUCAAAUUGCUCGCUUCUUCCUCAUUUUUAAUUAAGAAGAAUUAAAGCGGGUUAUUCCCCAUGAACAAGGGAAGUAAGAAAAUAUCCCAAGCGACAUUGCAAAUUUCGCAAAUGUAUAUAUUAUUUGUGUAUGUCUUUUGGGUGUCGAUUCUUUCAUGUUUUUUCUCUCCAUGUUUGGGGUUAGUCGACUUUGACGUUUUAGUUGAAACAUGUUAAUGAUUUUUCUCAUUUAAUUCUUUAAGCGUAGUUGAAAAAGUCCAACCCAACCAACAUUUAAAAUUGUUACUUUUGAAGUAGCUUGUUGCUUUAGAUAUUUUUAAAUGAAUGACUUCAAAAUUUGUCCGCAGGUUGGCUGCGCCUGUAUUACUUUCAAGUUUUAUACUCGUUGCUUCAAUUGAUUGCUUCAUUUCUUUCACAUGGCUCGCAGACUUGCUUCUUCCUAAUCCUUAAAAAGCAAAGGUUGUUGGUACAAAUUAGAGGAAACAUCUUUUGAAUAUAUUAAGCAUAGAAAACAUCAUAUGGGUAUUCCUCUCUUGUACAUGGAUAAAAUAUACUGCUUUUUAUGGCUGAUCCUAACCCAGCCAACUAAAUAUUGCUUCAGGAGAGAGAAAUUAGGUUGUCUGGCUUGCUGACUAGUGAAUGGUGGCUUUUUAGACAAUUUAAAGCAAUGAAUAGCCUGGUUUUAAGAUUUUUCGUGGUCCAACCAGAUACAUAUCGCUGCUUUUACUUUCUUUGUACCAAAUGGACGGUGGAAGAGCAUAAAGGACACUCUAAAUUAGGCACAAAGGACCUCUCUCUAGUUAAAGUCAAUGUCUUCAGAAUAUCAAACUUCGAUUACUUCUGUUCAAACGAAAUUGUGGAAUAUUUUGUAGUAUCUAGGAACUUAUACUAGUAUUAUUACCAUUGAAAAAUAAACCAUCUGAGUAAUUUGCGUGUCUAUAUUUCAAAGAGUCAGAAAACUACAAAUAGUUUAUUUCAAGACUGCUAUUGGUUUUUCAUUUCAUCCUCGUUUACCCCUUUUCUUAUUUAUGCCAGUUGCUGGUUUCCAUGAAUGAAUAUCACUCGUUUAAGAAGCAUUAUUUUUUAUCAGGUAGUUGUUUUGAAUACUGAUCAUGAUCUACAAACAGAAAAUCAGAUAUAGAUACUUUUAACCACUCGUCUCCUACUAUUUCACACAAUCGAUAUAUUUUAGUUCCAACAGUAGUUUUAACACAUACAUUUAGGAAUGUCUUUUAGUUUCUAUAAUUUUAAAUGAUGUAAGCUAAAAUAAAUUUUGAAAUAAGUAAGUAUUGAAAGGUAAAAAAGUAGUAUAAUUCUCUGCACCAUAUUCUUGUUCUGAUCUCAUUUGCCUCCACCAACAAAAUAAGAAGCAAAAUGAGUAAUCUGAUUCAGAUAUCAUGGAUCCUGAGAUAUGAUUCCUUGACUCAAACAACAUAAUUGUUUGUCCCGAGAAUCUUUUUCCUUUUCCAUUCUUAAUCCACAGUUGUUUGUUUGGUGGUGGUGGUUGUAUUUGUAUUGGCUGCUGAAGAGCUCAUAAGAUAUUUGGAGGCAUUAAUCUCUUUAAGGUGCGCAUCAUUGUAACAAAGUGCAAUGUUCUGCUGUCCUUUUCCUAGAGCUAAUUACUAAUAAAAAAGUUAUGUCUAUUUAGAGCUUCGAAUGGAUGAUGCAGCAUUCAUCAUGCUACUAACAAAAGAACAUAAUUUAUUUCCAUUGAUUGAAUCCUUUGUAGGCAUAGUUACAAUUGUAUACAAAUAUAAAGGUAAAAUUUAAGAAAAGAAAGAAAACUAUAACCACACCACUCUGCUAUGUCCCCCUCAUUUCUUCACCAACAAAACAAUAAAAACUAAACCACCCUAAUGUUCUACAAUCAGCUCAGAAAAAAUAUAUGAAAUUGACACCAAUGGCAAACCGAAAAGCAAAACAGCAACUCCAAGAACCAAACAAAAUCUUCAGUGUUCCCCUUCUCUUAGCUGCUUUAGUCUAAAGUAACUCUUUCAUUUCAGUCUAUCUGCAACCUAAAUCAAAUUCAAAGGAGAAAAUGAAUCAAGAAGGAAGCACUUCUGACACUGUUAAAAUAGAUCGUGUGCUUCAUCACUCAUGUUGCUUUAUGCUAGCACGAACUUAUUCUCUGUGCCAAAUUGUGUAGACCUAUUGUCCUCUACCUCUGCAUCAUUAUACCUUGGAACCCACCAAACUCUCACACUUUUGUCAAGGCUUCCGCUGUACAAUAAAAAACCACCACCAAUCCUACUAGAUGAUGAAGCUUGCAAACACUUCACAGGCCCUUCAUGGCCAUUUAUGACACCAACUUUACAAAGCUUGCCAAAAGCCUCUCUUCUCCAAAUCCCUAUGCUUUUAUCUGCUGAUCCACUGCACAAAAACUCCCCCAUCAGACACAUGCACAACACAGCCAUCUCAUGUGCCUUGGUUUCAGAAACCAGCUUCCAACUCUCAGAACCUCCACUCCCCUCCCACCCCAUCACAAACCCAUCGGAUCCUCCUCCAUAAACCCAUUUCCCAUCCUCAGAAACAACAAUAGCAUUGAACGAAACAUCCUUAUGACCCUCCAAAACCCCCUUCAAGCAAUGCUCCCCCUUCCCCUCUUUUCUCCCCCAAGCUUUAAUCUUUCCAUCAGCAGAAGCAGAAUACACCACCCCUUUACACGCCACCAGCCCAUUGAUUGCAUCAUCAUGAGCCUUAAUCGACUCCAAACACUUCAAAUCCGAGAGCUUCCACACCUUCAGAGUCUUAUCCCACGAACCAGAAUAAAUCAACCCGUUAUAAACCGUCAAGCAAGAAAUGCUAUCUGCAUGCUCAAUCCACAAACGUUUGUGGUGCCUCCGGGUUUGGACAUAGUUGCUCUGCUUCAUGAACUUUCCCAGAUAGUCCUUGGUCGUGGGAAGAGAAUCGACAAGCUUGAACACGUUCUCCGAGCUUCUUGACACCUUCCAAACUCUGAUCCUGCUAUCUUGAUGUGCGGUGAAAACCUUGUUGCCAACCGUUGCAAGUGCUUUCACCGAUCCCUCUCCUUGUCCGAACUUUGCAAAGACCCUCAAGUCCGGUUGCUGCCAGACUAUGAUAUCCUUACCCUGAGAGGCACUCAGGAUGAACUCACCGCACAGGGCCAAGCACGAAACGGAACCCACGUGUCCGGAGAGAACAGCGAGUGAUCGGUGAGAAUUGAAGAAGGCAGAAACAACGAUGGGUAUGCGUUGGGAACAAAAGGGGCUGUCAUCGUUCUCGCUGCUGAUGCUGCUGCUGCUACUGCUACAGCUGGUUGAUGUUGAAGUUGGGUUUGUCCAAAGUUUGGAUUUUGAAUUCAUUGGAGCGGAAAGAUGAGUUUGGAGAAGGAGCGUAUUCAUUGCAGCAAAUAUAACGGCUGACAGAGAAGGAGCGUUGUGAUGAAAACAAAACAGAGGAAUUAUAGAAAGAAUGAAAGAGAGAGAGAGAGAAACAGAGAGAAACAGAGAGAGACAGAGAGUGGUUCCUUGUUGACAAGGGAAAUGUUUUGUUAAGGUUUGAGGUUAAUAAUUGUGUUGUGUUGUGUUAACGGCUACAUUGACUAAGAAACUGAUGCAACAUGGCCCUUUUGUAAUGAGAUGUUGCAUGUUUUUGAGCUGUUACUCCUUUUUUUCUGCAAUUUUUUUAUUUCACCAAUUACAGUCUGCCAUGUGGAAAACCUCAAAAGGCUCUUUCUUUCUUAUUAAGCAUUUUGCUAUCUCUUCAGCUCAGGUUUUCCAUUUCUACACCCUGUUUUCUGUUCUCAAAAUUGGUUGAGUUUUUAUUUUUAUUUUUAUAAUUAUCUGAUGUAAUUGCAUUUUGAUGUGUGAUUUGAUGCAUCAUAAUUGUGGGAUUUAAGUGUUUUAGGCUGUAAUUGUAUUUAAGUCUUUCAAAUACCAUAAAUAUACCAUAUUAUUAUUAGUUACUUAUAUUUUAGUUUUGUAAAUUAGAUUUCUUUAAUAUAUUAAUUGGGUAGUUUUAGCCUCGUAGAAUGUUAGUUAAAGGAAUUUCAAUUGAUCAAAAAAAUUAAAACUAUUUCAUUAUAAUAUUUAAAAAACUUUUUAAUGGUUUUUUUAUAUAUAGAAAUGAAAGAAUAAUGAGUUAUUUUUAUUAAAGUGUUUAAUUUAUUACCACGUUAGAUAAUAAAAUAAGACUAACAUAAUGUUUUUAGAAAACUUUCUACUUUAAAUUUAUAAAUUUAGUUUUCCACUUUUAUAUGAAAAUGUUUUUGUAGAAAAUUGACCAAAAAACGUUUUAAAAAACUAUUAUUUUGGAUUUCUAUGAAUGUUGUCUAUUGAAUGAUGAACUAACGUGAAAAAAAUACCUUCCUAAUUUCGUAUUUUGAAAAUAUUAUAAAUUUCUUCUUUUCCAAAAAAUUUCUCAAAAUUUUGACAUAUUACAAUUUGUAAAAGUAUUUGCAGUCUUAAUUAAAAUGAUCUCAAAUAUAAAUUUUAAAUUCAGAUUGUAAAAUACUUUUAAUAUAUAAAAAAUUAAAAUUUUGUAAUAACGUAAUAUAUUGACUGACUAUGUAAUCAUACAACCGUUUUUUCUAAUUAAAUUCUUAAACUUUUCCUGUAAAAUUUAUAUGGUUUUGUUCACCGUUACUCAGAAAGAAUAACAAUUAAAUAAUAUAUAUUAGAAGUUAUAAAUAAUAUAAAAACUUAUACUUUUAAAUAAAACUUACUCUUUUUUCCCUUAAAAUAGGUUGUACUUUUGAUUUCUUAACUAUUAUUAAGAAAAUUGAAUUUUUUAUACUAUUAUUUUUUGUAACUAUGAAAUAUUUAUUAAUUUUAUCAAUAAUUUCUAUAUAAAAAAAAAAAUUGACUGGCGGAAAUCCUGUUUUCUAAUUACAUUAGUCUUGUUUUCUAAUUAGAUUUCUCUUUUUUCCACAAAGUCAAAAUUCAAAAUCUUAGUUAAACAUAUAAAGUAGAUGAUAUUUGUUAUUACUAAAGUGUUUCAACAUAUAUAUAUAUAUAUAUAUAUAUAUAUAUAUAUAUAUAUAUAUAUAUAUAUAUAUAUAUAUAUAUAUUACACUAUGAUAACAAAUUGAAUUUAGUAGUGGGAUCAUAUUUUGAAUUUUGCCUUCUUGAAAAGUAUAAAAUUUGAAUUUGAGACUCUUUUAAAUAUUUGCAUCCAGUCAGGAGCAAAAUAAUUAAACUGCAGGGAAAACAAAUGUAUAUGAACAAAUAUUUAUUUGAAGAGUAAUACUAUAAUAAUACACAUUUACACACAUUAUAUAAAGAUAAAAUAAUUAUAAAAAAAUGAUUUUUUACUAUUUUUUUACUUAAAAAAAUAAAAAUAAAGAAUGAUAGGAUCAAAUUAAUGUAAAAGAUUAAUGUCUUAAAUUACUAUUUCUGCUAUUUGAAAGGGGUAGAAAGAUGGUUAAUGUGAUUGGUAGAGAGCAGCACUUUUGUUGUUGUUAGCUCACAGGAAUCUUGUCAACAUAACUAAAUCAUACCUAUAUAUAUAUAUAUAUAUAUAUAUAUAUAUAUAUAUAUAUAUAUAUAUAUAUAUAUAUAUAUAUAUGCUUAUUUAUUAAUUCAUGACAGAGAACAUGAAAGAAAGAGAAAACAUGCAAAUUUAUCAACUUUUAUCUCCAUGAAUAUAUUUUCUUCCUCUAUUUUUUAUGCACAGUAGCUAUGAAUCAAUAACAAAAUUAUAAUAGAUAGAACUUAUAAACAAUAAAGAUUAUCAAAUUUAUAAUAGUUCAUGUUAUUUUGCAGCAGCUAUCAGUAUAAAAUCUGCUUACUUUGUGUGCAUAUUUUUUUUUUUGUGUAUUUUAAUGUUUUGAAAGAGUAAUAAACAAAGAAUUGAUUGAAAGUGGUCGGCUGCAAACACAUGUAACCACUAGUUUAAUCUUCCAUCAUUACCACGUUUGUCUUUUUACAAGAGAACAUUGUGAUUCCCAAUAAAUGGGGGAGAAAUUUCAGUAAAAAGUAUCUAAAAAUCUUGAAAAGUUUAAAGAAAAGUUUCUUAUUUCUAUUAAAUUAUGGUGACUGUAUAUGCUGUUAAUGGAUGACUGAUAAAGGAAAACCUAGUUUGUAAUAUUGUUUUAGGUAAAGAAGUGAGUGAGGUAUUCAUACAAUUUACUAUAAGUCAUCCAACACCAAAAGAAAAUUAUAAUUAAUUUAAUUUGAAAGUAAUUGUUGGAUUGCAAUUUAAUAAAAAAUAAGUGAUAAAAUUAGUUGACAUAUUUAUCAAAAUUAGAGACAAAAAAGUUGAACACCUUAUAAUAAAAGACCAACCCCUUAAGGUUUUGAAUUAAAAUAUUAUUAGUUUAUUUUGUAAGUUUGAUUAUACGAGUGAAAAAUAUUAAAUGCAGAAUUCUUAUAUUAAUUUGAGAGGUUCACAAACUUAUCCCUGAAUUCUCCUUAAAGAUGCAAGUUUUAAUAUAAACAAAAUUUAUAUGCAUAUUGACAAAAUUUUGUUACAGUCACUCAACCACUUUAAACAAUAAUAUAAACUGAUUUUCUAUGAAAUUUGAUUGUUCAUUCAUUGUUUCAUCAUACUUAAUUAAUUACUUAUUCUUAAUGCGUGGUUGAUAGAAUAAUUAGAAGCAAUACGGCUUAAGUUUGUGCAGUAGGUGAGUUUGGUGAGCUGGUUUGGUAUUUUAGCUAGGAAGAAUAAAUAUGCUGAAGAAUUAAACUCAGUUCUCUCAGUGCAUGAGGUGUCAACCAUGCUUUUGAUAGCUUUGUAGUUGCAGAAGCUAUCAUUGUCACACUCUAUGACUUGUGACUUAAAGGAAGUUCCAAUAGCUAGCUUUUUGUGUUCUCCUCUCAAUACUUACAAUUUAAGCUUAUUGCAAGGUUUGUGCAACCAAAGGUUUAAGAACAAAUAUCAUAAAAAGUUUUAAUUAAGAUGAACUAUAUCUGGUUAGAAUUCUAAGAGUCUAAGUUCCAAGUUGAGUAAAAACGAAAAAAGGAACAUUAUAUAAAUGUGAAAACCUAUUAUCAAAGUUUUUGAUAAGGAGUGGUGUUAAUUUCUUAUAUGAUUAGUGUUAGAAAGUGGGUGAUAGACAUUUCGUGAGUGAUAGUAGAAAUUAGAUAGUCCAAUAGGAGCCCGACAACAGGUAGAAUAGAAAUGUCCAAGAAAUGAAUAUAUCGUUAGGAUAAGCUUUUUAACGAUGACUCCAAUACUAUGUUAGAAGAUGACUUAAGCCUAACUCAACCUCAUAAAACCGAUUUUAAAAACCAACUUGCAAUGUGAGAUUUGCACCUCACUUAUAUAUUAUAAUUUGACCUUAUCUUCUAACAAUUAGACUCAGAUUUCAUUGGUGUUGUAUUUUUCCAGUGAACCUUCACGAUAAACCUAACAAACCUAGUAUCUUUAUGUAAAGUAACAUGUUAUGUUCUGAUAGUGUAAUCUGAUUGAGCUACUUGCACUCAGUGAUUAAUAACAAUUUACAUUUGAGGAAGUUCCAAACAACUGAUAUGAUUUAGAUUCCGAUAUUUAAAUAAUGGUUCAGUGUGAUAGGAGAUGCAUUUGGACAUUCCUUCUCGAAAUCGUGAAUAUCUGCUUUAUCCAACAUAGGAAAUGUUUGCUUCUGAUAUAUGGCACAACAUUACUGGUUUAUACCUUGGAAAUCUAGUUUUGAAUUUAAUGAACUGUUGAGUGAUAGCCACCUGGAGGAGCAGUAACAUUAAAGUAAACUAAUUUUGCAAAAAAGUGUCAGAAAAAAGUUGGAAAGUGCAGCAUAGUUUAUGUGAUUUGGUAGAAAGCAAAAAUUUAUGUUAUUGUUAGCUCACAUGAAUCACAUCAACUCAACAAACUUGAUUUUGUCGUUCUUAUAAACUAAUGUGAAUUGCAUCUGUGAGAGAGAUAAUGAGAUUGGUGCUAACUUCUUUUCUUUUGCUUCUAUUUUAUUGUUUCAUUCACAGGACCACGCAGGCUCUUACAUAGAUCAAUUCAAUUGAAGUUGGUCGGCUACAAGCAUUGCAUUAACUAAUCAAAUAUUGUCUUAAAGAAACAAGAGAACACACAUAAGUAAUACAAACAAGGUUAAAAUUCUUUUAUAGAAUUAAUGUUGUCUUCCAUCAGUAGAAAUUGCCUCUGAAGUACAUCCGCACAUAAGAAAAAAUAUAGGAAAAUGAUAUUUUAACACUAUUUUUUGACAUCAUUUUGACACUGCACACGUGUCAAAAUAUAAUUGGACGAUUUCAAAUUAAAAAAGUUGAGGCAGGAGUAUAUUUGAAAAAGAAAAACCAAAGUUUGUUUUUUUAAAUUGAAAUCGUCCAAUCACAUUUUGACAUGUGUGCAGUAUCAAAAUGGUGUGAAAAAAUAGAGUUAAAAUAUCAUUUUCCAAAAAUCUAUGAUAGAUAAAGAGAUUUGAAUCCAUAUACACGUGAUUAUGCCUUUUAAAAAAGGACUAAUUAAGACCAUCAAUUUGGAAGUUGAAGUUGGGAAGACGUAAAAUAAUCUUAGAAUGGAGGAAAUUGAUUGACAGAACCUAGUAAAUAAGGACCACUGGCCCAAAUUGGAGAAGGGGUCCCCAAUAAAGGAGGUGCGGAAAGUAAAAGCAAUUUUAUUUCCUACUCAUCUUCACCUUGCUAGUUGAGUAAACAACCCCCAACUGUGAAGAAAAAAGCAAUUGCAUUUGGAUGAUGGCUGGAAUCAUAAGCCAGCUUUUGAUCACAUCACAUUGUCAUUAAAAAAAUAAUAUUUAGUUUUCUCUUAUCUCUCUAUUCUAUGUUCAUAAAAGACAUGGUUAUGUCAUAGUGGUUUCACACCUCACUUUCUGGUUUUGAGGAAUGAAUGAAUUAAUGAUAGGGGUUCGUAUAAAAUGGUUUAAUUAAUUUAGCUCUGUUUUUUUGUCAAUGAAGGGGUUUAUUUUGAACAAAUAAUUACUUACUUGAUCAAUUUUUUUAAUUAUACAAAAUAAAUAAAUAAAUAAAUAACUUCUCUUGAAUGGAAAAAAAAAAUUAGAAUGACUUUUGGGUCAAAUUGAUUCCAAGCCCAAGUACGAGUGACGACGUCAAAAAAAGUUCUAUGUGCAGAUGUAAUAUUCGAGUCUAUAAAUCAUUACCAACAGGGGAAAGUGUAAUAUCUGUUUCGAUUUCUUUCUUGAUCCCCAGGGGUGUGUUUUGGUGGUACUGUACAAAGAAAAAAAUAAUGCUUUGGACAAAAAUUUUGUGGCCCAAAGGAAUCAUAAAAAUAUCAAGUUACUAAAUCAAGUGUUUCUUCUUGCACCCUACACUUUUCCUUUCACUCCACAUUUUUUAAAAAUUCCAAAACUACUCUAUAUUUCAAAAAAUCCUAUAUCUGUUUCUUUAUUUUGAAAUUCGUUAAAGGAUUUUUCAAAUGCUUUAAUGAGUUUUGAAAUCCUUUGAAAAAAAGUUAUUUUUGGAAUGUGGGAAUGCAGAGAAAAAUGUGAAGAAACACUCUAUUGAAUCAAGUCAAUUCAAAUUAGUGACAAAAACAAAGUCAAUUCGUAUUGAAUGAAGAUUAUUAGACUUUAAGUGUUUUUUAGUGUGAUUACUUCUUGCUUAAUUGUAUACUUCCCCUUUGAGAAUUUUUCAUAUAAAAAGUUCACACUUCUUUGCAAGAUCAAUGAUGAAUUCCACGAUAGCUUAUUGAUGUACUUCCUAAAAGUACUCCUAGCAUUGCUUAAUGCUAAUUAUCAGCCAGGAAGAAACAACAAAAGCGAGUUUGAACAUGCAUGCUUGCACUUUUCAUUAUGAACUAUGAUCAUAUAAUACCCGUUUUACUACAUGAUUUGAUAGUAUGUAAUGCUUACAAUGAUUGUUGGAACUUACUAUUACACCCUAUCUUGUAUAUAAUUUGUGUAAAAUUACAGUUAUAUACAUUAUAAAGAGUGAAAAUUUGUUCCUACGUCCAUAUCUCCUUUGUCUUUCACUAACAUAUGAUGUUGUUUCUAUCUGUGUGGUGUCUAUCUAUAAUAUAGCCUUCACUUACGUAUGCUCUCUUUCUUGAAUGAGCAGUCACUUUGUAAUGUGGAAACUGUCCAUAACUUCUUUUGUAUUUGAGACGACAAACUACAAUGAAGUAGAUAAGAGUCAAUGUAUUUUGAAUAUAAUAUGUUUCUUCCAACGCUUAAAAUAAAAUAAAAAGUUUAGAGCUAUGAAGUCAUUUUAAAGACAUCAAAUCAGAACUGAAAAUAAUAUCAAACAAAGAAUGGUAAUUUCACUUCACUCGCAGCUUUAAAGUCAAGAUGCUUUCAUGCUUACUGGAGCAUGUUUGGCAAAAGUAAAAAUUUACGAUAGAAAGAUGUUAUCUUAUGAUAUUUUAUAGUAUCAUGAUCUCUUGAGAUUUUUAUUUAAAUUUUUUAUCCAUUUAUUUAUUUAAUUAUAAUUUUAGAAAUAUUUUAUUAUAAUACGAUUUUUUAGAAUAUAUAUAUUGCCAUUCGCUGUAUAAAAUGGACUCUGUUGUAUAGUUUAAGACCUAUUGAAUCUAUUUUUCUUUUUCAAAAAUUUGGAAGAUGAUGGAGAAAUAUAAUGGGUGCCACAUUAAUUUUUUGUUCUGAAAGAGGAAAUCAUUCAUCUUUAUACUUAUAUGUAGAUAGGUUGAUGCCCACAUAAAAGUCUGGCAUGCAAGAAACGUUACUGAGUUGGAUAGUCUUAAAAAGUAAAUUGUAGAACUACGUAUUAUUGUUGCAAUUUGCCAAUGGGAGAAAUAAUUUAGACAUCAUGUGACUAUUCUUUUUGUUCUUGUUCUGUGAUUGUUUAUUGCUUAAACAGAUGCCUAUUUCUUCUUUCUUUUUCCUUUUGGAUCUUUUCUAAAGAAACAGAGUGCACAGAAAGAAAUCCACAAAUUAAUCCUUUAUCAAUAUAUAGAAAUAUAGAAACAGAUGAAAAAUGAAUGGGUUAAAAAACAAAUAAACUCUGUUUAUUUCCUGUGACUAUGGAAGCCAGUGAGAGUAGAAUACAAGAGAGUAAGCACUAACCUCUAGGCUUAAGUCCUUCCUUGUAGCAUGUGCUCUUAGAUAACCAAAUUCGGAAAUCCUUUUCAGGCUCCAGCUCUCAACCUAUAUAUGUAAGAAAAUAAAAAUGUGAUUUCUUAGUAAAAAAUUGUAAUCAGAUGUACAUUUUAAAAAAUUAUAUUAUGUAAUUUUCUUGCACAGAGAGAAAAUAUGUGAAGUGUGGAGGAUUGAGAAGAGAAGAAAAGAAAAGAUAAUUACAUUGCUUGAAAAGUUGUCCAAGGUGAAGCCAGCCAUGCCAAUGACAACUUGCACUGGAGCACUGUAAUUUCGGCCAUCAUAUGUAUCCAUUCCAUUUUUAUCUUUUGUAGGCAUGGCUUUACAUUUAUGUUGAAACACGGAACAAGUUCUCUCAUAAUUAUGUACAUGGCCGAAAAGAGCCAAGUCAACCUAUUUCGUUUUCACAUUACCGUCACUUACCACAAACAUGUCAAUGAACUGUAUACAAGAUCUAAGAAGCUUGAUUUUCUAACCUUAUUUUGAAAUAGCAAUGGCUCCACAGCUUCAUUAAAUUUGUUUUCAGACGAUAACAAUCCCUGGUGAGAAGUGUACAUCGGUCUAUGUCUGCACGUUAAAGUGUCAUGCAUAAUAUGCUUCAUAGAUAGAUCCAAUGAUGUGAAUUUGGGGCAAGCAAUUCUUUAAAAAUGUGCAUAACUCACUUACCCCAUGAAGAUUAGCCAAGGAGUUUUCUGUCGAUUAACCGAUGCCAUGUCCUUUUGCAUCCACGCAUACUGCAACGGGGAAGAUACACAUAUUAUGUAACCAUUCAAUCGAACUAAAGAUAAAAAAAACAUAAUAGUGGGUUCCCUCAUUUUACCUGCUCAGAAUUUUCUGACCAAUCAUGCUCAGUUGAUAUUACUGUGAAAUGAACACUUCCUUGUUCUAUAGAGUACCAAGGCUUAUCCUUUGCUGAAGUUGGCAUUGGGAAAUAUGUUUCAUACGGUACUCCACAUUCCCCACCAGAGUCAGGAGUAAUAUAUACUGAACCAGAAUCUACGUAAUCCCUGAGUGAAAACAAAGUGUUUAGAAAUGAUACUCAAUAAUUUGUACAGGAAAUUGAGUAAUGAUUUUGUGGGAACUUUUGUAUAAACUCUUUAAGUAAGGUAUACUACAGGAAAACGUUCGCUGGACAGAAUUGUCUUAAUAUGAAUGAAAUACCUCUCAUGAUUCCCUAUUGCUGUCAUAUAAGAAAGCCUGGAAGCUACUGGGUUGAUAAGGUGAAGGAAGAAAUCCCAUUCUGCUAGAAAACCUGUCGCAUAGCUUAUGUCUCCGAUGUGAAACACUGAAUUUACUUUUUUGGAAUUUACGUCUUUGGCUAUAGCUUUAAUCACUGAAAGAGCUCCGGGCUGUUUGAAAAACAAUACAGGAGAUGUCCCCAGUAGCCAAAUCCUUACUUAGUGCGCAUAUCAUAUGCAUAACAUAUAAAAUCUAAAUGAUAAAAUGUUUGAAGUAGCAGUUCUACCUGAAUGUAGUGUUCUUUGGAAGCAUCGAGAGGAGUUUUGCCCAUAUCACCAAAUGCAAUGAAUCUGACCUCAUCCGAUCCUCCAGCUGGUGGAGUUGAAAACUGAAUUUCUUUACUCCAACCAACCGAGUCACUGGACCAUAAGAAGGAGGGAAAUUAGUUUUUUUAAUGGGUUAAAUCUCAAUUCUUAAGGUUCAAGUGCGAAUUAGAAUAGCUUCGUUGAACGACAUUUAAGUGAGAAAGAUUCGCAUGUCUAUUUAUUUAAUAUUUUAGGCUGAGUCAAAUUUACUUAGGGUCUAUUAUGCAAAGGACCCUACACACAUUGUGAAAGAGAUUUACAAUUGUGGAGGAUAUCAUUGAGAUUUGAGUGGUUGUUGAAUCACUUAGUACUGGUUUGGAGAAAUGCUUUAAACAAAGUUUCUGAAAAUACUCUUUAUAUUUUUGGGACUCUGAAUGUACUACUUUUAAAAGGACUCUAAUGGUGGUCUAAACAUACCUUAAGUUGCCUGCGAGUCAGGUUCUUUUAUUUGACAGACAUUCAGUUUAAAAUCAACUUCGGAUAGUAUUAUUAAUGCGUCUAGAUGGCUAAAGAGAUACUUUAUCAAACUAUAUCUUCAAUUUAUCCCAUAAAGUUAAUACCUUCCAUAUUUGUAGGAAAAUGGGCUUGAAGGAUUUAGUCCUGUCAUAAGUGCUGAAUGAAUGUAUCCCGGAUCAUGCCAUCCGAAGUCCUUAGCAGGACUGGGCAGCGCUGAACCUGUCAAUUUCAAAUGGAAACCAACAAUAAUGGGCAAAAUCAUUCUAAACCGAUUACAAAUGUUUUAUAAAAACACUAGUUCACUUAAUUAAUGGUAAUGCUUCAUUUUAAACUAAAUACAGAAGCAUAUUUACGGAUUCAUAAGACAUCGCUCAUAAUUAUUUAUUAGCAAACUAUGAUUGAGAAUUAUGUCAAAUACAUAAAGUGCAUACUUAUUUAUGAGUGAGGAAAAUAAAGUAAAGCUAUCACUCACUACACAUAUCAGCUUGUGAGAAUGUAGUGACUGUUGAAGUAACUGCUUUUCCAUUUGCAUAUUGGAUUUGCUGAGGCUCCUCGUCUCCACUAACCCAUGUCAAUCUCAUCUGCAGCUCCAAAUCACAUUUCAGAAUAAACGACAAAGAAUAUUUGAAGAAGAAAAAGUAGCUUAAUUGGUACUCACUGAUGCUCCAGUUGAAUCUAUACUUGAUAAAUGGCCAUAGAGUGGCCUCUUGGGAUUAGCAAAACUCAAGGGCGUGGACCUUCCUACAAGGCAGGGUUUCAGGAAUCCACCAGAGAAGAACACGAACUCAAUGUCACUUCUAAUAUUGAUGACAUGAAAUUGUAUUGAACCACUGCACGUUGAGAUAACGCAUUUCCCAUCUUGGUAUUUCUUGCAUUCUUUGUUUUUGCAACUGAGGUAGUUUGGAUCAUUUUUCAUGUACUGUGCCUGCGUUUUUGUUAAUCCGAUUGUACAUAUCAGAAUUGAUUAAUAAAUUACAAAAUCUGUUAAUUUCCAUUUUAGUUCGUUUUUAAGAAAAAUUGAGAUUGGUGAAACUCACCUUGGCUCCCUUAGAUGAACACACACACUCAAGUAAUACCCAAGAUUAUUGUCCAAACCCCAUUUUCAGAGUAUUAAUCAUUAAUGUAAGAACUUUCUUGUGCAUUAUUAAGGAAUUCAUUUACUAUGAUUCAUGUAUUCAUCUUCUUGUUUUCAUUAUUGUCCAAUUGUCCAUUUUUUCUGCUUUUGAACUAUCCGUCAAAAGCAUAUUAACGUACAUCACAAUAUUAAUAAAAAAAAGAAAAAAGAAAAAAAAAAGAACAGAUUUAUGUCAGAAUUUGGUUGCAGACAGUGACAAAAGGAGGCAUUUCACAUGUUUAUGUGCGAAAACCUACGAAUCCAUGUUUAUAAUUAUUAACAACACUUGCAAGGGAGACAAGAUAAUCAGGUAGAAGAAUAAUAUAUUAUUAACUAAUUACGAGUAAGAAUAUGCCUUUUAUUCCUUCCUUGCCUGAAACUAAAUAAAUUAACUAAAUGCGUAAAUCCUGAGUGAAAAAAAAAAUGAUAAUACUAAUUUUUAGCUUGCAAUAACAAUAACAGAUUGUGUCAUGUCUAUUUAACAUUGCCUUCUAAAGAGCACAAUUGUAACAUCUUGUAAUUUUUCCUUUCCAAAUUCUGAUCUUAUAAAUUAUGAAAUACUUCAAAUUGUUUUCAAAUUUUGACAAUUUUUUUAUAAACUUUAAAUUAUUUUAUAAAAAAAUCCAUCAUAAAUACUCAUAUGGUUAGGGAAGCAACAAGGUUUCGGACAAAAACCGAUAAAGAGGCCAAGCUAGUUUAAUUUUAAAAAUAAAAAUAUUACUUGUAUUACAAAUUUCAAAACAGACAAGAGAAAUAGAGAAAAAAGAAAGGAUUAGAAAUGAUAUAUAAUUAAUGAUGUGAUAGAAAGAAAUGAAAAAGAAAAAAGUAUUAUUAUAUAAUUUGAUAUACAAAUAGAUAACUAAAAGAGUUAGAGAAAAACUAAAUCAUACAUAAUUUAAAUUAAAAUAACUAAAGGUGAGAUUUCAUUUCAUUCACAGAUUUUACAUACUUGAACUUUUUAUUUUAUUUUAAAUAUAUUUUUUUUUCUGGUGGGCUGAAUGCGUGGUUGGUUCCACUUGCACAUAAAUACACCUCAAUUUUAUUUUAUUUUUGUUGACAGAAGAAUCUUUAUGUAACUUUUAUGCAUGUUUUCUUAAAUUUGAUAAUUUCAAAUCCUCUGAGAUUUAAUCCAAAGAGAAUUUUUUUUUCCAAUAUUUAUGUGAGUGUAAAGUCAUCACGGAAGGAAUCGAAUAUAAACAUUAUUUAUUUUCACAUCAAUCUAUCUGAUUUUGACGCAUGGAUAAAAUCGAUACGUUCAUUUUUAUUUUUUUUCUUUUAUCUGUUUUGGUGUAAAUGUGUAAACACAUUUUCUGAUUAUUAAGCAAGAGACAAGAUUGGAUAUCACUAUUUAUUAAGAUGUGGUACUGAAAGUGUGAAAGAAACAAUAUACUAGCAUGGAUUCGGACCUAAAAAGAAUAUCCUUGAUUUUUUAUGCUAAUUGCUUUAAAAAUUAUAUCUAUAAUUGUUUUAAUUAAUUCAACGGAUAAAAAUAUUUACACUGACCACAUUGAUAAUUAAAUUUUCUCACUUUAAUAAAACCUUCAAAAAUUAUGAAUGGUUGAGAAUUAAAAUCAGAAAAAAUAUAUUUAUGUGAGGUGUUUAUGACAUGCCAAAAAUGAGUUGAACUGGAUUGGUCCAUCACCAAAAACACGAAUCAUAAAUUGUAAUUGCCGACAAACUAGCAGUUGAUCCGUCACUUUUUUUUAAUUCUUUUAUAAUUUUUUUUAUUUUAAUUUGCAAAAUUUGUUUGUAUAUAUAUACUUAUAAAUAAAUAUUUAAAAAAUAUUUAAUCAUAUAAUAUUUUCUUAAUUACUGACUAAUUAAUAUUACCAAAACCCAUUUUAACAUUUAUACGUGUUUCUCUGAGACCAUCUUUUCCCAAUGGUUCAUUUGUGUAGGCUAAAUAAUUUAAUAGAUAGAUUAUGUUACAAAGCAACCACGUUAUGACUUCAGAAUUGAAAUCUUUAAGAAACGUCCAAGUAAUGUUCAUGUAUAGUGUAAAAGCAGUGGCAAACAUUGAAAAGAAUACACGUGAACACUGUUGGGAUCACUGGAUAUGUAACGUCUAACAUAAAAACAAAAAUGAUAUUUUCAUACAUAAAAAAAAGAAGAAAAAAACCGCUUUACCACUCGUUUUAAUAAUACGAUAGUAUAUACUGGUAUAAGUUUAAAAAUUAAAGAAAAUAUUAAUUUAUUUGUUGUUUAUAUUUUAUUUGAAGGAUGUUAAAAUAUCAUCCACCAUAUAAAAAAUAUCUUUAAUUUAGUAUCUGAAUAAUAAAUUUAACAUCUAGAUUUUAAGAUCCAAAUUUUACAACAUUUGUGACUUAAAUCUCUUUAUUAAAAUAUGCUAAUAUAAUAUAAAAUUUAAGAUUACAAGUCCUAAAUAAAAUUCUAAAUUUUGAAAAUGAAAAACUAAUGUGUAAAUAUGAUAAAAUUCUUUCAUAAUGAUAAAUAUGUCUUAAUAGUAAUUUGGCAAAAUAAUUUUUUUUAUAUGAAUUCAUAAAAACAUAAAGAAUGAUAUAAAAUUUGCAAGCAGGAUUUUUCAACUUUUAUUAUGAUGAUAUAAAAUUUAUAUUUUGAAUUUUAAAUUCUUGGAUCAUAAUAAUAAAAUGUACUUUUCAUUUAAAAAUAGUCUAACUUCCAACUAAAAAAAUAUUUAUUAAAAUAAAAUCUUAUAAAGCUUGAAUAUUAAUUAACAUGAAACUUUAAAAAGAAUUAAAAAUUCAUGAACUUUUCCAGUGUGAACAUAGAUACCACCAAGUUGGAGUUUGAGUAUUUGCCACUAGUCACUAGGAAAAAGUCAAACUAAACAUAUCAAAAAGAAACAAAGUCCCUGUGCAUGAUUUGUGGUACGAGGCAAAGGCAGCAAAAAUAGUUAAUGCCAGCUUACUGACAUUAUGAAUAGUUGGAAUUGAAAGUUUUUUCAAAAAAAUAUUUCAUCUAUGAAUAUAAUUUUGACAUUUUUUUUUCUAUCAUGUCUUUAAAUAAUAAACUCAGAGAAGGAUAUUUAGCUAGUAUAAUGUUAUUAUUUUCAUUUGUUUUCUAUUGAUGAUGCUAAUUACCUUUGUGUCAAGUGAUACUUGAUGUGAUAUUCUGCCAAACCAUCUAUAUGAAUUAUUUGAUAUUUUUUAUUGUUAUUUUCUUGAACAAUAUUUAACAUGAAUAACUAUAAAAAUAACAAAUAAUUUUUUAUAUAAAAUUAUUAACAAUAUAACAUUUCGUGAAGAAAAUACACCAAUAUCUAAUCACUCAAAAUAUAUACAUAUAUUGAAAUUUUUAUCAAACAGGGAAUAAUAUGAACGACAAUGAAUCUUUUAGGACAUAACUGUGUUUUAUUAAACUAUACAGAAAUCACAAGGACUGAUUGAAAAUAAGGUAGUUGAAAAGGAAUACCAAAGUAUUAAUUUGCCAAAGGAGCAAUUUUUUCACUGGUAUUACCCAAAUAAUAGGUGUGGCAUUUAUGAGUCUCGCUAUGAGCAUUGAAUGAAUGCACGAUGCUUGUUUGUUUAUUUAUUUUGUUUUUAUUCAUAGGAUAUUUUAAGCAAGCAGAAAAUAGUGGAAGAAUAAAUUAAUGACCUCUAAUGAAAGAAAAUGGUUGUGACAAAAAUGGAGCAUUAAAAUAAUGUAAAGGAAAAUAGAGAAAGAAAAGUAAAAUAGUAAGUUCAUGUGUUGAUGAACAUACCUUGACAGGGUAGUGACAUAACAGAGGAAGUUUGGCCGUAUCACCAGUUUGUAGAUAGAACAACUCAUUCAGCACACAAGAUUUCACACUGUGCAUCAACAAAACCAAAUUGUUGUUAUUGGAAUUUGUAGAAUUUGUAUGAGCAAUAAAUAAUAGUAAGAUAAUGAUGAUUAAGAUGAUGAAGAUGAUGAAGAGCAAGGUUGCAUCUCCAUUAUCAUUAUCUAUUCAUAUAUAACUCAUCACAUGAAUGAAUUCUUACUCAGAAUUUGAAGGUGAGAUCAUGGCAACCCAAUCACCGUCUGAAGGAUUGGAAACCCCUGUGACUGUAACUCUCACAAACUCGUCAUCCGAUAGAGUGGAAUUUGAGUCGACAUUCACUUUGAGGAAGGGAUUUGAAGCAGAGCAAUCUUUCAAAAUUCGUCUGUUUAUCAUUCUGAAUUCUGAUAGUGCAGUGAAAUUGCGGUGUAGGACUGUGGUGUUAGUAACCACCAAGUCCAGAAGCGAGGGAGUGACAGUUUUAGAGGUCGAACAACUAAGGAAAAUAACCAGUAAAAUGGAAACAUGUUUGAGGAUAAUUCGAUUACAAAACUCCAUUGAAGAAACACAGAUUUGCAAGUUAUGCAUAAGGCUUUCCUUUCCAAGAAAGAAAAUAAGAUCUUCCCAACUUUCCCUCUCUUAAAUAACAUGCACUCCUUUCACACUUCCUUUUUUCUUUUCCCAAAAUACCCCUUUUCGUUUUCCAAAUGUGUUCUGUUUUCUCUUCUCUUCUCUUCUCUCUGUCUGCUUACUCACGAGGAAGAUCUGCGCGUGUGGGUUUCAAUGCAGAGCCAUCCUUGCAGCACUGCUUGAAUACAGUAACACUUAAUAAAGCAAUUCCACAAACACAUCAUCUACGCAUUGCUCCCACUCUCCAAGAUACACUUCCAAAAGCCUCUCACCUGGACCACAAAGAUCAUUUCACAAAAACUAAACUAAACAAAGAAAAUCUUUCACGAACACAACCAAAAUGCACCAUGAUGGCAGCAUACGUAUACUCAUAGCAAAGAAAAUCAAUUUCAAGAUGUACACAAAUGCGUAAAAACGUGUCUGUGAAAAAAACAAUUGAAAUUUGGCAUACACUUACACGAACAAUGUUAAACAAAAAGUGAUGGAGGUUAUCGCGAUUUGAAUGGAAGGUUGGAGAAUCGAGAAAAUGAAGAAAGAUGGUGAGAAAGAGGGAAAUAUAAAGCGGGAGUGAGAAUUUACGAGUUGUGUUCAUAAACGAGAAAUGUUUAUAUUUAUAAGGAAAAUCUUCUAAUCUGUUUGCUUCCUUAAUCUGAUUAAUCAUGCUAAUUAGUUAGAUGAUUGCGAUGUAUACUUUAUUUAAUACCAUACUCUGUGGGAAAGAGAACGUGGUGAUUCGUUCGAGAAUACGUAGUGGUUCGGUCGAGGAUACAAGAGUUUUAAUUCGUCGGUUGAUGCUUGUUUUUUUUUUUUGGUAAGAAUAUCCGUUAACAAGAAUUUAAAUCUAAUUCAAUUUCAUAAGAUUUGAAUUUAUUUAUAUAUUUUAAAUUAAUUUUAUUUGUAAUCAUGUGAGGAUUUUAAAUUAAUUUUAUUCAUUUUCAUGUGUAUUAAUCAGUUAUGAUGGUAUCUCACGUUGUGCUGUUUGGCUCUGAAGUAGUGUUUCUUUUUUUAUUUAAGCUAUUUUUGAGCUUGCAAUUACCGGAACAGUUUGCUUGAACGUAAGUGAGGUUAGCAUAAAUAAUUGGAUAGAUGGAAGAGAAGAAAGCAACAACGUUUGAUGAUUGAGUUUGAAACCUUAAAAAAGAAGCGUAAAAACCUAUAAUUUCAUAGUGCCCGAAGCAAAGCUGUGUGAACAUAAAUACUUGUAAUAUACAGUUGGAGUCUUGUUGUCAGAAUUGAAAAGUCAAACUAAACUUUUUAGAAAGAAAGAAGAAAUAACUUCUUUCUCUUCUGCUGAAAAAAAUAACCAACUAAUGCCACUUUAUUAGCAUUAAUGGAUAAUGGGAAUUUAUCACAUUUUUGUCAUAAAUAAAGUAUUUGGUAUAGCUAAUAUGAAUUUAGCAUGGUAUUAGUAAAAUAAUUAAUAAAUUUAUCUUUGAAAUGAGUUUUCUCUUUUAUAUUCAGAAAAUUAAAAUAUAUUAACAAAUUUAUAAUAUUUUAUGCAUCUCCUCAACCUUAUAUUAAGUUCCUUUUGUUAAAAUUUCAUUAAUUAUGAUGAAAUUAUUUUUUGUAUGAAAUAGACAUUAUUGGUUUUGAUGAAGUUUGGUUUUUAAUGAAAAGAAAUUAAAAAAUAGAAAAAAAAAAACUAGUUAGGAAAAGAUGUUUAAUUAGAUAUAGCAUAUAUUAAAGUUUUAUCUAGUUAGGUAUCUAUUGAAGUAUUUUUGUGUUAUUCACCUUAUAAUAUAUCAAUUAUUUAUUAUUAUUGAAAGUUUAUUAUAUUUGUGAGUUUUUUUUUCGUAUGGAAAUUUUUUUACACGAUUUUUUUCAUAGUGUUUGCUAGUUUUUUUUUUAUUGCACUUUAUUAUUUUACAUAUAUUAUUUGUAUAAGAAAUAACUCAUCUAGAUUUUACUUUUACCUAUUAUAUUGUAUUAUCUUUCCAACAUGUUCAAGCAUAAUUUUCUUACAAUUAGAGACUGCCUAGGCAUUUUAGAAGAAUGAUGAAAAUAAAGAGCCUUUAGAACAGCUAAAGCUUUUGAACUACUUACAAGAGUUUUAUUUUUAAGUUAAACUUCCCUUCUGUUUACGUAUAUUUAUAUUAUUUUUGUUUUAUUCUUAUAUUUUAAUUAUGUUAUGAUAUUACUAUGGAGGUAUAUAAUUAUAUUUUCGAGUUCCCUUGCAUAUUCGUAUCAAAUAAUAUAUCAUUAUAUUUUUUUUUGUCUUAAUUAAUUUUUUUUAAUGUAAAAUUGAGUCUCUUAUCUUUAAUUGCUGUGUAUGGUGUUAAAUUUGUUGUCGAGUGACCUAUAUAAACUAGUAUUUAAUAAACACAUAACACAAUGAGAUCUUAUUACUUUAUUUAUUAUUUUUUACCUUAUAUUAAAGACGUUUUGUAUUAAAGUUUUUAUCUUUCAAAAUAUAAUUAAACAAUAGUUUCAAUAUUUUUAUAGUUUAUAGUCAGUAUUAAAUGUAUAUAAUCAAUAUUUUAUAUAUAAUUUGAAAAUCGUCUGAUUACAAUUAAACAAUAAUUAUAAUAUUUGUAUAGUUUAUAAUUAAUAUUAAAUGUAUUUAAUCAAUAUUUUAUUUAUAAUUUGAAAAUCGUCUAAAAUAUUUUACUACUAAAUCAAUAUUUACAUUUUUAAAAGUCAAAAGUUUUAAAAAAGUGAUUUUAAUAUCUUUUUGUUUAUUUCUAUUACCAUUAAAAAAAAUUAAAUUAAUUUUGUACUAAUGUUUUAGUUUUUAUACAUGUACCUUAUUUGCUGGACAAGAUAAACAAAGUUAAAAAUUUUAAAUUAUCAAAUAAUGCGUAGUUUAAAAUGGGUUUCUAAGCUAUAAAUAAAUAAUAUAUGUGAAACAUUUUAUAACUUUUUAAUUUAAUUUAAAAUUAACUUUUAAAUAAAAAGAUUAGUUGGACCAAAUUAAUAUAUUCUAAUAAUCUAAACAAAACCACUAGAUAAGAUAUGAUGGAUCAAGAAAUUUCUUUAUUAAUAUAUAAAAAAAAGUCAAUUUAAAUUGAAUAAGAAUUAUGAAGACUAUAAAACACUUAUUUAUUUUGUAAAUAUUAUUAUAUUUUCAAUAUAUUUCCUCAAUUAAAAUCUUGGUAUCUAUUUACACUUUCUUAUAAUGCCUUGAACAUGAAUGAUGAAUUCCUUAUGGAGGCAAAUGGUAAGAGUACUCAAGCAAUGUUAAAUGCUCAUUAUAAGCUACAACGAAAUAAUCAAAGUCCUUUUGCUAGCAUUGUUUAUUAUAAUUAUAUGAUAUUCUGUAAUUCUUACAAUGAUUAUUAGAACUUACUAUUAUUACACUAUAAAGAGUGAAAAGUUGUUCCUAUGUUUAGAUCUAGUUACCUUUCAAUAACACCUGCUUGUGUUUUUUUUAUGCUCUUUGUCUAUAAUAUACCCUCUACUCUUGAGAGAUGUGUCACUUUGUAAUUCGGAAACUAUCCUUAACUUGUGAUGUAUUUGAGACGACAAACUACAAUAAAGUAGAUAAUAGUCAAUAUAAUUUGAAUUUACUAAGCUUCUUCCAAAUAUUCAAAAUUAGAAACCUCAUUAGAGACACAAAAAUAUGCUUGGAAAGUGUAAAAAUUUUGAAGUUGACAAAUGAAGGAAACAUAACCAGUGUUGAAUUAUUAUGAAAUUUGAUAAUUUGCAUAAAAAUAAAAUGAGGUGUUGAGUUUACGGAAAAGUAGGUUCACUAAAGAUAUACAAUAUUAAUACAAUAUUAAUGAAAUAUGAGUUUAAUCAGACAAGAGAUUGAUAUUAUUUUUUAUCUAAAACUUUAAAAUAAUAUAUUACUUUUAUAUGUUACUUUACUUUUUCAUUUUUAUUUAAUAUAGAACUUAGAUUUAUGUUUGAAACUCUAAUUACAAUAAUUGAGACAAGUUAAAUGAAAAAUUUUCCACACAUUUGAAGAGUGAGUUCUGUUAUGAAUUAUUGUUAUAGUAUAAAUCUAAAUAUAAAUGUAAGUAUUACCAUAAAUAAAGAUUCCUAAAUUUAUUAUUUUAAGAUUUUUAGUCAAAGAUGAUAUCAGUCCUUUUUGUUGAGUGGAUUAAUAUCUCAUGAGUGUUAAAUUAUAUCAUUUCCAAUUAAUCCUCUCUUAAAAUACCAUCCAAUUGCUUUGUGAGGGACUUAUAAUUAUUCUAUGUAAAAUACUAACCUCCACGUUUAAAUCAUUCCUUGUAGCAUAUACUCUUAAAUAACCAAAUUCUGAAAUCCUUUUCAGGCUCCAACUCUUAUCCUGUAGAUGCAAGAAAACAUGAAUUUUGACUGCUUUGUUAAAACUGAGAAGCACAGUCCUGAACAUAGAUAUGUGUAUAGAGGAUUGAGAAGGAAAGAAUAUGUCGAAGAAAUAAUCACAUUAGUUGAAAAUUUGUCUAAAGUAAAGCCAGCCAUGCCAAUAACAACUUGCACAGGGGCACUGUAAUUUCUGCCAUCAUAUUUGUCUACUCCAUUUUUAUCUUUUGUAGGCAAAGCUUUACAUUCAUUUUGAAAUACAGAACAAGUUCUCUCGUAAUUAUGUAUGUGGCCGAAGAGAGCCAAGUCAACCUGUUUCAUUUGCAGAAUAUGGUGAAUUGUUACAACAAUGUCUUGUCAAUGUCAAUGCGAAAGUCAAUGAAGUGUAUACAAAAUCUAUGGGGCUUGAUUUGCUAACCUUAUUUUGAAACAUCAAUGGCUCCACGGUGUCAAUAAACUUGCUACCAGAAUACAAAAAUGAGUGGCUAGAGGUGUACAUCGGUCUAUGUCUGCAGAUGAACAUGUCAUGCAUAUAUGCUUAAAAGAUGGAUCCAAUAAUGUCAUGAAGUUGGAACAACCAAUUCUGUAGAAAUGUGCACAAAUUACUUACCCUGUGAAGAUUAGCCAAGGAGUUUUCUGUCGAUUAACUGAUGCCAUGUCCUUUCGCAUCCACUCAUACUGCAAUAGGUGAAGUUACACAUAUUAUUAUGUAACUGUUUAGUUGAAGUAUAAGUACAAGUGUUAAAGAAAUAGACUUCAAAAUUAAUUCAACUUCACAAAAUCGGUUUGGAAGGUGAGAUUUGACUCACUUAUAUACUUUAAAUUUACCUUAUCUCUAGUCAACAUGAGACUUCUAACACCCCGUCACGCGGAGGUAUAUACAUCUCAAGCAUGAGAUAGGUAUUAAGGGAUGAUUCGAUAGUGGGUGAAACAAUAUGUCCAACAAACAACAAAUAUUACUAGAAUAGACUCUAACCUAACUUUGAUAUCAUGUUAAGAGGUGAACUUUAAGUCUAACUCAACCUCACAAAACUGACAUGCAAGAUGAAGUUUGCACCUACUUAUAUACUUUAAAUUGAUCUUAUCUUUAAUCGACUUUAAAUUAAUCUUAUCUUUAAUUGACGUGAGACUUCUAACAAUAAAAAACAGAACAGUGACUCCACUCAUUCUACCUGCUCAGAAUUCUUUGACCAGUCAUGCUCAGUUGAUAUUACUGUGAAAUGAACACUUCCCUGCUCAAUAGAGUACCAAGGCUUAUCCUUUGCUGAAGUUGGCAUUGGAAAGUAUGUUUCAUAAGGUACACCACAUUCCCCACCAGAGUCAGGAGUGAUAUACUUUGAACCUGAAUUUAUAUAAUCCCUGAGGACAAAAAGGGAGUUCAGAAAUGAUGCCAUAACAUUGUUUUUCCUCUUUUCCAUAAAUCUACAAUGCUUGUUAUUCAAUUAGGUGUAUAUAAACAAAUCAAUAACGUGCAUUAAACUUGAAGUGCUAAGAAAUCCAUAAUUUUACAGGAAAUUAAGUAAUGAUUUUAAGGGAACUUUUAUCAUUCAUGUGGAGGGCAUACCUCUCAUGGUUCCCUAUUGCUGUCAUAUAAGAAAUUCUGGAAGCUACUGGGUUGAUAAGGUGAAAGAAGAAUUCCCAUUCUGCAAGAAAACCUGUUGCAUAGCUUAUAUCUCCAAUGUGAAAGAUUGAAUCUAUAUUCUUGGAAUCUACAUCCUUGGCUAUGGCUUUAAUCACAGAAAGUGCUCCUGGCUGUUUGAAAAACAAAACAACAGCUGCUCAAUACAAAAUACCUUAACCUUUCACCACAAGCAAAUCAUAGCGGCCUAUCUCAAUAUGAAUCUAAAAUAUAAAUGUUAAUAAAUUUCAAGCAGCAAUUUACCUGAAUGUAGUGUUCUUCUGAGGCAUCAAGAGGAGUCUUUCCCAUAUCACCAAAUGCAAUGAAUCUGAGCUCAUUUGAUCCUCCAACUGGUGGAGUUUUCAACAUGAUUUGCUUACUCCAACCAACAGCGUUACUGGACCAUAGGCAGAAGAAAAAACAACUUAUCUAAUAAGCUAAAUCUCAUUUCUUGAAAAACUUACAAAUACAAAUUCUAGAUGUUCAUGUAUAUAUUCCAUAGUAUUCCUCAAGUAGCCUGCUAGUCAAUGACUUUUUAUACUAUUUCAAGAGAUUCAGUUUAAAAACAUUUUUUAAUGAUUCAGACUAUUAAUUCAUCUAAAAUGCAGAAUACAGUCUUUCUCAAAUCACAACCUCAAUUUAUCCCAUAAAGUUCAUACCUUCCAUAUCUGUAUGGGAAUUUGCUUGAAGGGGCAAGGCCAGUCAUUACUGCUGAAUGAAUGUACCCUGGAUCAUGCCAUCCGAAAUCCUUAGCAGGACUAGGAACCACUGAACCUAUUAAUUUCAAAUGGAAACGAAAAAUUAUGGUAAAACUGUUAGAAAAGUUGAAUUCUCUGAAAUUAUGGUGGUGAUGCUUCAAAUUAAACUGUAUGGGAAAGCAUAUAUAAAACAAGACUAAAGUAAAUCUAUCACUCACUGCACAUAUCAGCUUUUGAAAAUGUAGUAACUGUUGAAGUAACUGUUUUUCCAUUUGCAUAUUGGAUUUGUUGAGGCUUCAUUUCUCCACUAACCCAUGUUAGUCUCAUCUGCAACACCAAAUUUAACCAAACGAUUUAAUAAGGAUUAAAGAUUAUCCAUAGAAGAAAAUCUAACAUUAAUCUCAUAAACCGAACAAUUGACUUUAAUUUUAGUUUAUAUAUGGUAAUGUGGUAUUUACCGAUGUUCCAGAUGAAUCUAUGCUUGAGAGAUGUCCAUAGAGAGGAGUCUUGGGAUUAGAAAAACUCAGAGGCUUGGACCUUCCCACAAGGCAGGGUUUCAGGAAUCCACCAGAGAAGAACACAAACUCAAUAUCACUUCUGAUAUUCACGACAUGAAACUGUAUUGAACCACUGCACGUUGAGGUAACGCAUGUUCCAUUUUGAUAUUUCUUGCAUUCUUUGUUUUUGCAACUGAGGUAAUUUGGAUCUUUGCUCAUGUACUGUGCCUGCGUUUUCGUUCAAUCAUUUAUUAUUAGAACAAUGUAUAUCAUAUUUUCAUGAACUCAUCGUUCGAGAAGAAAGAGCGUCUCUAUGCUUGCCAUUAAUGAAACAUUGAAGUUGACUUUUUUUCAUAAAUGUUUAUAAUUUAUGAAAAACCAUUGUCAACUCUUUUUCCUUGGUCCGUUUAAUUUGAAUUAGUCAACCUCGGGAAGUGCUAAUAUUUAUUUUUUAUUUAAUUGAGUUUUACUUAAAAUUAAAAAUAAUAACGUCACGUGUCAAAAUUUUAUCGUCUUGUACUUUUGAAACAUAUUGCAAGUUAAUGCCUAUUAAUGGAAGGGCCACAACAAUUAAAUCAAUUAAAUGAGAAUAAUAAGUACAUGAUUAAGCAUAACAUUUUAAGGUGGUUUAAGAAAAAGUUAAUACUAUUAAAUGAAAGUAUUAAAUAUAAAAACCAUAUUAUUAAUUAAACAAAUUUUUAAAAAAUAUAUAUUUUAAUAUUGUAAAAAUUUUUAACAAUGACUUGUUCAGUCCAAAUUUUUUAAUAAUUUUUUAAAUAUUACCUUUUUAGUGAACUUUCAAAAUACAUUAGUUAAUUUUGACGUUUUAAAACAUAUUGAGGACUUUUUUUAAUUAUAUUUUAAAAGCUUAACAAAAGAUAAUAUUAAAAAUUAGCAGUUUCUCUGAAAUGAAUAUGGUAGGAAUAAUGUGGAGGGUUAAAACAAUUGAAAGCAAAAGAACAAUACUAUAUAGUAUAUACCUUGAUAGGAUAGUGGCAAAGCAAAGGAAGUUUGGCUGUAUCACCAGUUUGCAGAUAGAAAAACUCUGUUAGAACACAAGAUGAAACACUGAAACAGAAAAACUUGUUAGUGCUGGAAAUAUAGUUUAAGAAUGAAUGUGAAAAGUUCAGAAUUGCAUGUGACUGAAAUUUCUUACUCAGAAUUGGAAGGUGAGAUCAUGGCAACCCAAUCAUUGUCUGAAGGCUUGGAAACUCCGGUGACUGUGACUGUCACGAAUCCAUCAUCUGAUAGGCUUGAAUUUGAGGUCACAUUCACACGGAUAAAGGGAUUUGAAGCAGAACAGUCAGCCAGAAUUUUUCUGUUUAUCGUUCUGAAUUCUGAUAUAGCAGUGAAAUUGCUGUGUAGGACUUUGGUGUCAGUAAUCACACGGUGCAAAAGUGAGGGACUGAGAGUUUCAGAGGUUGAAAAAUGAAGGCUAAGGAGAAAAAUCAGCAAAACUGAUACAUAUUUGAGAACUUUACAAGAUUCCAUGGAAGAAAGAGAAUGAGAAGACAUUCAACAGAACGUUUUCUCUGAAUAUUAAUUGUUUUCAGUUUUCGGUCUUUGGAAUUGCUAGCUUAGUCAGAAAUGGUUGCUUUUUAUACUGAAAAUCUUAGUUUUUUGCUGUUAAUGGGUUGUAAUGAUUGUAAGUUGGGUUGUGAUAUGAUGGAAUUAGAAGGAGUAGAAAAUAAAUGAAAGGAAAGAAAAAUAAAGUAAAAGAAAUUAAGUUGUUUAGAUUAAUACAAUGAAAAGUAUUAUAAAAAUUUAUAGUAAAAUAAUGUUUCGAAUAAGGAAUGAGAUUAAUAAUCUAAGUAUUGUUAUGUGGUCUUUCAAUGAUGUCUACAAAAUUCAUGUGUUGUAUUAAAUUAUUCAUCCAAAUUCUUUCAAGUUUUUUUUAUUAAAAUAUCAUAUUCAUUGACAAUUAAUAAUUAAUGUAAUAUUAAAUAAAAGAAACCUAUCCCUUUAUUUCAAGGAUAGACCUUUGGUCUAAUUUCGAUCUGAGUAAUCAUAUUUUACUUUUAAUUAAUUUGUAAAAUAAAUUUAAAAAUAAUUCAUAAAAAUUUAUGUUUUAAAUAUCAUAUAUUAAAAAUAAACACACUUUAAACUGAUUAAUUUAUAGUAAAAUAAUGUUUCGAACAAAGAAUCGAGAUUAAUAAUUUAAGUAUUGUUAUGUAAUUUUUGAAUGAUUUCUAUAAAUAAGUGUUGUAUUAAAUUAUUCAUCAAACUCUUUCAAGUUUUUUAUUAAAAUGUUAAUAUAAUGUUGACAAUUAAUAAAAGAAACCUCUUUAUUUUAAGAGAUAGACCUUUGAUCUAAUUUCGAUCCAAAUCCGAGUAAUCAUAUUUUAUUUUUAAUUAAUUUUUAAAAUACAUUUAAAAAUAAUUUAUAAAAUUUUAUGUUUUAAAUAUCAUAUAUUAAAAUUAAACACACUUUAAACUGAUUAUUUAAUUUAAUUUAUUAUUUAAUUAGUCUUUAUAUUUACAUGUUUUAAUUAUUUAUUAUGUCAGAAUAAAAGAAUAAAUAUUUAUUAUAUUUUAUUUUUUAAUUAUUUAUUAUGUCAAAAUAAAAGAAUAAAUUUUUAUUAUAUUUUAUUUAAUGCUAAUGGAUUUUUCUUAUUUGAUUGUUUCAAAUAUAAAUUAUUAUAAAAUUUACAAAAGUAAACUGCUUUUCUUUCUAUUGUUUUUUCGAAAAAACUUCAGCCCUUUAGCCUAAAUAGGAACAGAAAUAAUUUUUGUUUUUGUUUUCAUGAGUACUAUAUUAGUAAGAUUUUAUUUAUUUAUCAAAAUUAAAAUUUCAAAAAAGCUUGAUAUAAUUGUAGAUGUAAAAAUUAUGUAUUUAUUUUAUAAAAAAAAUAGUCUAGUACUCAAUUAACAAAGUAAUGUUUUGUCAACUAUUGUAAACAGAUUGUCUAUUUUUCAUAUCAUAAGUAAUAACUAUAAUGUUUAAAAGUCAACAUUUAACUAACAGUUUAACAAUUAAACCUAUUUGAAUUCACUUCAUUUAUUCUAAGUAUAAACACUCUUUUUUAAAUAACAUAUUAAAAACAUUAAAUAAAAAUAUUUUAUUUUCACUAUUUUAUACAUUAAGAAUAAUUAAAUUCAAAACGAAAUAAUAUAUUCAUAAGUAAAAGUGUUAGAACUUGAACACUUAUUUCUUGUAUUUAUAAUUUGUAAAAAUGAAAAAUAUUUUGUUUUCAAUAUUUAUAUUUUAAAUUUUGAGUAAAUUCAAAAGAAAAUAAUAUUUCUUACAAUUAUAUGUGUUUGAAUUCAUACAUAUUCAUUUGUUCGUACUCGUGAACGAUUUCUAAAGUGAAAACAAUAAACGCAAAAUGUAAAAUAAAAAAUAUUGCUUUUAAUUAUUUUACUUUUUAUUUUAAUAAUAAUUAAAGACAACCAAAGAUAGCAUGUUAAAAUGAACAUUUAAAAAUAUUCUAUAAUUGAGGAGCUCUUCAAAAUAUUUUGUCCUUUUUGUUUCUCUUUUGUUCAAUAAAUUAAUUUUAAAAAUUACAACUUUCAUAAUAUUAUAACACAUAAUGUAAAAAAUCAAUUAUAACAUUAAUGGUAUAAAUUUAAGAGACAUAAAUGCAUUUAAGUAAAAGAUAAGUAUUAGGUAUUAAAAUUAGAGAAAUUAAAAUUUCAAGUUGAUUAAAAUAUGAAAAUAAGAUAUUAGUAUAUAUUUCCAUUUAUUCUUUGAUUAAAUAUUGCUUGCAUUCUCAAAUUACAUAGGGUUAAUGUCCAACACUAUUUUAUUUUUACUUUUUUUUUUUAUUUCGUAUAAGGAAAAAGUCUUUUUAACAAUUUUUUUUUUAAUUUUUUUACAAUGCAUACGUGGCAGUGUAUGAUUGGUCCGUUUCAAAUAUUUUUUUAAACAAAAUUCAAACAGAUAAAUAAAAUGAUCACACGGGUCCUUGUUAUAAAAAAGUUGUUAAAAAAGAGUUGUCAAAAUAUCAUUGUCUUUCGUAUAAAACUACUUAUACGUUUAUCCAAUUAGAUAUGUGCAUAGUCUAUUCAAAUGUUGGUAUUUUUUGUUUGGUAAUGUUUGGAAAAGGAAUUAGGUUUGUUCUUCAUGUUUUUUGUUUUCUACAAAUAAUAAAUUUAUAUUUUUGAGGCAAGUUUUGACGUCUAAACAGAAAAAACAACAAUCUCCAAAUCCUUGGAAUCUCCCACACUUUAGCAUUGCUUUUCUCCAACACAUAGGUAUUGCAGUUAAGGUUAAGAGAAAAAAAUAACAAAAAACUUAUCUUUAAGAAAAAUUACACUAAUUGAGUUUCAUCUUGUCAUGGUUAUGGCAAUAAAGAAAAAGUGUAAUGUUCAAGAUGAAGCUUCCCCAAAGAAAAAUUGAAACACAGGAAGAUGUAAGAAAUUAAAAAAAUAAAAAUAAAAAUACACAAAUUGAUAUUGAUCUCCGAAAGAAACAAAUUUAUAAAAAGAAAUUUUAUACACAUAUAUAAUAUUUUUUUAGAAAACUUAUAUGAUGUAUUUAGUUAGACAUUAUUUUAUAUUUUUUAGUUGGCACUAAUAAGAUUCGUAUAAUAUUUAAAAAUAAUAAUUAAAGUUAUAUAUUUCAUAAUAAUUAUUAAUGGGUCGGGGUUAAGAUGUUUUUUUAUUUAGAUCUUGAUAUUUUGAUAUUUUUUUAAUAUUUUUUAAUAAUAAAACAUGUAUCAUUAUUUUAUUAAUCUGAUUAAAUAUAUAUUAAAAAAAAAUUAAAACGAAACACUCACAGUCCUAAAUCCUAAAAAAAAUGGUUAAAAAUAGUUGUUAAAAUAAAUUUCUUUUUUUUUUUCUGGCGGGCGCGCGUUCUUUCUCUCCGAGACCGACGACGAGUGAGACAAAAACGUGGUUUGCAAACAAAUCUUUGUUCCGUUCGCUUUGUGUCUGAGAGCGCAGUACGACAUUGACGUUUUCCGAAACAUUUAAGAAUGUUUAUGGCGAUUGGUGUCCCCUCAUCGCGAUGAACUAUGUUCUAAGCAUGUCAUGUGUUUCGUUUGUUCUAUGCAUCAUUGAUGAAUUGUUUUUGAACAUGGAAUCAAGAUACUCUCAGUUUGGCCUGCAAAAAUUAUAAUAAUAACAGUUUAAAUUUUUUGGAAAGAGUAAAAUAAUAAAUUGUGGUUAGAAAUCUCAGAAUCUAUGGUGGCAGACAAAAGAUGUGUACAAAUUACAAUGACAAAAUCAAUCUUUUUCGUUUGUCUCCAUCUUAAUGCAGAAAACCGAUCAUGUCAAAGAUUCAUACGCUAUAAAGCUUAACAUUAUAAUCCUUACACAGACCUCUUACGAUCAUUACUCCAAACCAAAAGUCUAAGUAAGAAUUGCUCAUCUACGUUCUCAGAUGGAUUGAAGAAAGCAGUGAAAAAACUUGGAUGAGCAACUUUACUGGGGCUAUUGCAUGCAAUCCAAGCUAUGCAGCAGUGUAGCACACGAUCACUCUAUUUAAGUACACAUUUGGUUAUUCGGUUUUCUUACAGUCAAAUUUGUUCAUAAAAAAAUCAUCUUAAGAAAUUUGAUUAUUGUUCGUGAUGUAUAUGUCAGGUUCACAGUACCACUUGCAGGGAUCGAAAGACUGGGAUGAAGAUGGCAUAAAAAUAAUCCAACUUCUCAACGAGUGUGCCAGUUUUACUGAAUCAGGAAACUUCAUUGAUGCAGAUACUGCACUCUACGAUCUCUCUCACCUUGCUUCCCCAGAUGGUGAUUCAAUGCAACGCGUUGCUACUUAUUUCACUGAGGCACUAGCACAUUGCCAAUUGGCAAAAAAUCUGCGUGGUGUACCUAAAGUUCUCCGCUUGGUGAGAGCAUUAUCAACUCCUGAACAACAACUUCUGAAUCAUCUGUUCUUUGAUUUCUACCCCUUCUUAAAGAUCGCACACACGAUCACAAAUCAGACCAUUAUAGAAGCCAUGCAAGGGGAAACAGCGAUCAACGUGCUUGAUCUCAGUCCAUCCAACGCUGAUCAGUGGAGUAAUCUCAUGCAGGGUUUGAGAGAGCAUGUAACAAACACACCGUAUCUGAAGAUUACUGUCACGGCCAUACACGAGAAGAAGGAAGUGUUAGAAGAAAUGGAGUUGCGUCUGAAAGUUGAAGCUGAAAGGUUGAACUUCCAUUUCAAAUUCAACGCUGUUGUGAGCAGUUUGGAGAGCCUUGACCCUGAGACAUUGCCCAUCAAGAAAGGUGAGCCUCUUGCAAUUUGCUGCGUGCUUCGGCUUCAUUCUCUUCUGGCUGCAAAUGAUGAUGAGAUGGUGAAAAUGAAGGUUCAGAGGGCUUUUGCUGAGAUGCUUAUAAAUCAAAGUCCUGACUCAGCACUCUCACCUUUUUCUCCAUGUCCAUCGCAGAAGAUGGAGAGUUUUCUGAAUGGUCUGUGGCGGCUCCGACCCAAAGUGAUGGUGAUCACUGAGCAAGAAUCAAACGUUAAUGGAGGUAGUUUGACAGAGAGGGUGUUCAAAGCUUUGAGCUUUUACUGCACACUGUUUGAUUGCUUGGAAGCCUCAGCUUCAAGAACAUUAAUAGGGAGAAGCCUAUUGGAGAAGAUGCUUCUUGGUGAAGAGAUCAAGAACAUUGUUGCAUGUGAAGGAGUUGAGAGAAAGGAGAGGCAUGAGAAACUGGAAACAUGGAUUCCAAGGCUUGAAUUGGCUGGAUUUGGAACGGCAGCUGUUAGUUCCAAUGGAAUUUGGCUUGCUGAAAAGUUGUUGCAAAGCUAUGUGCCUGGUUAUCACAUGCAUCAGAAGAACCAGUUCUUGUUUAUUUGUUGGGAGAAAAUUCCUCUGUUUUCAAUUUCUGCAUGGAAGUUUUAGAAGGUAUAUACCUUAGUUUAGUUUAUUCAGGAACUGUUUUUCCAAUUCAUUCUAUCAAACACAUUAUUUAACGGAUUAAUGUGUUAAAUAGUGUGUUAAAAGGAUUGUAUUUUUAAUUUUAUUUGUUAAAAUAUUUUAAUGAUAUAUACAGUCGUAUGGAAAUAAUUUUUUAUUGGAUAAAUAUUGUGUAAAUAUCUCAAAGCUUACUCUUUAUUUAACUAGAUAAAUAAUUUUUUAAUAUAUCUAAAUUUUUUACAUUAAUAUUAUUUUUAUUUACUUUUUAUUCUUUUUUAAAAAAAAGAAUAUAAAACUUUAUAAUUUUAGAAUUAUUUUAUUCUUAUAUUAUCUCUCAAAUAAAUGUAAAAUAGUGUGAUGGUAUUAUUUCUUAGAACAAUGAUAUUUAUUGGUCUAUUUGAAUUUAUGUUUAAAAAGUUUAUAAAAUGGACCAAUUACAAGCUCCUACAUUAUAAAAAAUUGUUAAAAAAUUUUGUUAAAAUAACUUUUUCCUAUUUCUUAAUUUCUUAAUGUGUUCAACAAAAGGUUUCAACAUGAAAGCAUCAAACAUGUUCUAAGAUGUGUUUUCUUUCUGCACUUUCAUGCUUUCUCCUUGCAUCCCCAUAGGAGUAAAAAGACCAUUUUACCCUUCAUGAUUUUUUUUUAAAAUGCUUAAAUUAAUUAGAUUUAGAGAUACAUUUCAAAUUAUAAAAUUCGAAAUACAUUCAAAUCAGAAUGUAUUUUAAAAAUAAUACAUUCUAAAUUCUACACUCCAUAAUGUAUUUUCAAAAAUUAUAUUUUAAAUUAUCCAAUCCAAAAUAUAUUUAAAAAAUUAACAAAAUACAUUCCAAAUAUAACUAGUCCAACUCCAUAGACAGCAAAUUCAUUGGAAAAUUCUAACUACUAAAACUUU